rnacentral:lncRNA from 1 species
CAAAAUUAGGUUUGGUCACCAAUUUUGACUAGUUUUAUUAUUAACAAAUCAAAAAGAAAAAGCUAUCAUUUUUCUCUUCUCCUUCACCGAAAUAUGCAGAAAAGAAAGGGCUUUGAAGCUGGAAAAUUUCAGCAACAUAUUUCCCUUGCUUGUAAGUGAUUUUAAUGUCUUUGCUUGAUGAUUUUUACAUUUUUGGAACCCCUAAAGCAUGAGCUUUCAUAUGAGGGGUCUAUUUUGCAAAAUGAUGAAGAGUCUAGGGUUUUGCCAUGAGAGUAAAUGUGUUGUUUUCUGUGUUUUUAUGGAAGAUUAUGAGUCCUAGUUGUCUAAUAAACAACUUUUGUGAAAGAAAUUGUAUGAAAACACCUUAAAAAGGGCUAGAUUGCUAAGUUGUAAAAUGAGUUGUAAAUGUGUGAAAUAGUUGAAAUUAUGAGUUGCUAUAGUUAUGAAAAUGGUUCAUCUAGACUCAAGGAGUAAAGAAAUGUGAUAAAAAUUAUUUUACGAGCCUAGGGGUAAUUUGGUAAUUUUGGAAAAAUAUAGGGGCAAAAUUGUAAAAAUUGCCCAAGUGUGUCAAUGGACUAAUUUGAUCAGUACAUUGUUUUAAUAAGUUGAAUAUGAUAUUUUAGAUGAUGAAAAUCGAGAUUUGGACCUAGAACGGAAAGAAAUCGAUUAAAGGAUAAUUACGUCUUUUUUUUCACCUUUGUGGUAUCGAGGUAAGUUCAUGUGUAAAUAAAGUAGCAUAAUUGUUAUUUUUAAGUUAUUGAUGUUAAAUAUAUGAUAUGCUGGUUUCUAUCAUGAAAUAUAUGCUUUGUGGUUAUUUUCGAAUAAAAUGCAAGUUAUGUGUAUUAUCUGUUAAAUAUAAAGUGCUACCGAGUAUUGGUUUCGGUAUUUUACGGAAGAUGGCAAGGAGAUGUGUUCGAGGAAAAUCCCGUUUGAACCUUGGGAAUAGAUUAGGAUACAAGUGACAUGUCACUAGGAUGGUUGAGCAUCCGAACUCGUUGAGUUGAGUCCGAGUCCACUUAUGGAUGCGAAUGUUCGAACUCGUUGAGUUGAGUCCGAGUUCGUGAGAUGUAACUAGGCAUCCGAGCUCGUUGAGUUGAGUCCGAGUUCACUUAUGGAUGCGAACGCCCGAGCUCGUUGAGUUGAGUCCGAGUUCUCUUAUGGGCGGGUUUCAUGGUAGCUUGGCUACAUAUGUGGCACUUAUGUGCAAACUUUCCAUGUAUCCGAAUUAUAUUCCGAUGUGUUCAACGGGUAAAAUUCUACUCAAAUGGAGGAGUACUCGAGAUGAAAGGGACGUAUUGGUAAAUGUUGUGAAAUGGAUACUUUGAACAGGUAUGUACUUAACCCUCGGGUUGAAAACUCGACAUAACAAUAAUAUGGUAAGAUGAUAAAUGAAAAUGUGAUAUGAAUGUCUCGGUGAUGAUUAUACAAACGAUGUUGUAUUAAUUUUGUGAACAAUGAUCAUGAAUGAGUAAUUUAGCCUUGACAGAUUUGAGUUACUGCAGUAGUGUAACUUUGAAAAUACACUAAAAAUAGUGGAAAAUGAGUUAGAGGCAGAAUAAAAUAUGGGAUUAAAGCUUAAUGAGUCUAUUUUCACAUGAAAGAAACAGGGGAAGAAAAAGAAUUCCAUAUUGUGUGAUAUUUGAAUUCUUGUGAAACAAGGUCUGAAUGAAUUCGAGAUCCCCUGUUCUGAAUUUAGAAAUUCACCAAAAAUUGUACAAAAAUUAUUAAGAGUCAUACCUUACAUGCAUGGAUUCCUUAUUGAGUCUAUUUUUAGGGGAAAUAAACUCCAUAGUUGUUGGAAUUUUUUACAGGGAGAAAUUCAGUUUGUAGUACACAGGGGUCAGAGUGGUCAUACCCUGAAACAGGGGAGACUUUAACUAAUAAACUGUACUAAUUGGCCCAACCAAAAAUUCUAGAAAAAAAUUAGUUAGUAGACAUAUGAGUCUAGUUUCAAUAUAAAUAGACAAGAACAUUAUUCGAGUCUUGUACUAUGAGAUAAUUGAAUUUUAGUACAGAAGGGUCGGAACUGUCAGACAGUGAAUCAGGGGUAACUUUGAGGAAUAAACUGUACUAUUUGGCUUAACCAAAAAUUCUGAAAAUUUUAUGGAAGAAAUGGAAAUAAGUCUAGUUUCAGGGAAAAUUAACAGAACUUAAUUCGUAGUUUCGUAGCUCCAGAUAUAAAAAAUUUAGUGACCGUUGCUCAGAAAGACAGCUUGCAGUGAACUUGAGAAUAUGUUGUAAACAUUGAUAAAACAAGUUAAUGGGUGCUUAUUGUUUUCAUAUGAACUUACUAAGCGAAAGCUUACCCCCCUCUUCUUUCCCAUAUUUUCUAGAGUUUCCAGGUUAGCUCGGGUUGGAGGCCGUCAGAGAUAUUAUCACACUGUCAAGCUAACGCUAUUGGUGUAGUGAUUUCAAGUACUUUGAGCCUAUGGCAUGUAUAGGAGUUUAAAUAUUAGAGUAUGUGAUAUGGCUUUAACCAUAUGUGUUGGCCUAUUUUGAUUAUGGGGUUGUAAAUCUAUUUUAAUUAUGCAUGCAUGUGCUAUGGUAUUAUGUGAUGAGUUUAUAAUGAUUAUAGUAUGAAUGUGGUAAAGAUGUGAGUAAAAUCUAUGAUAUCUAUUGCAUGUGAAAUUGCCAUAAUCAUGACAUGUUAGGAAUGUUUAAGUACCUAAUUUUGCCACGUUGUAUGUUAUUGUAUAAGUAUGCGUGUAUCUAUUGUGAGUGUGACAAAAUGGCUUGGAAAAUAGCCUUAUAUUUGUCCAGGUUUUUGGACACGGGUUUGGGACAUGGGCGUGUCCCUAGCACACGGGCGUGUGCUCUGCACCCACACGGGUGUAUGAAGCCUUGAUGCAAGAGAUUUUCUAAGUUUUUCAUGAGUUCUCGGUUGGGUCCCAAACCACUCCGGAUGUAUGUUUUGGGCCUCGUAAGCCCGUAUAUGGGACAGAUUGUAUGUGAAAAUAAAAGUUUUUAAUUAUUUGAGAUUUCAUGGCCUUGUUUAGUAUGAAAGUGUUAGUAAAAGUCAGGUAGCACCUCGAACCCCGUCCCGGCGUCGGAUGCGGGCGAGGGGUGUUACACUACAAUGCUCUUGAUAGAAUAUUUAUGCUCCUAUUUACAUUACGAUGCCCCGACUGCACAUCUUUGUCCUGAGUCUCAGGUGAUUUGACAAGCACUUCGGUGUUCUAGUAUGCACUUUCGUACCAUAUUUAACACCUGAGUUUUUGUCGAUAUUGUAACCUGUGUAACCGAACUUUUUACUAUUGUUCAUCGGGCUGUCAUGUUUAAAUAAAAGAGAUGAGUGACUUAUUAAUAUGAAUGAGUUUGAGUACUUAGAUUGAAUUGAAUGAAAUGUUACAUCGAUUGUCCUAUUACAUGAAUUUGUGAAAGACUCAUCUGUUUCUUGUGAAAUGAAAUGUCAAGAUUGAAUAUGCCAUGAAUACUUAGUUUUAUAACUGUAUUUUUGGAUGAUAAGGUAAGUUAAUGUAUAUAUUUUCAUAUGAACUUACUAAGCUUUUGUAAAGCUUACUUGAUUUUGUUUUCUAUAUCUUAUAAUUGACGUUUUGUGAAACACGGCUAUCGUAUCUCUUCAAAACUCACACUAUCCAACAUUUGUCUCAGUAGUUCUUUUGAAUUGUCCUUUAUUAACUAUGUGGCAUGUAUAUAGGCUGAAUGGUACUGAAGUUGUAUUCUGAGAAAAUGAUAUGAAUCGUGUGAAUUUCUUGUUUAAGGUAUUGUAAAUGUGUAUAUAUGUGUUCUAAAUAUGUAUAAAAAUGCAUGGAUUGAGAAUGAUUAUGAACCACUUGUUUUAUGUUGAUUUUGGUAUGUUUUAUCAAGCUAGUGAUGAAUGGUUGGAAUGUAUGCAUAUUAUCAAUGAAUUGAUAGAAUGGAAUGGUAUGUUAUACUUGAAAGUCAUUAGAACAAUUGAUGGUAUGUAUUAUAUGCAUAUCAUGUUGUUGUGAAAUGGUGCCAUUGAGGCAUAUUGGUUAGAAGAUUAGAAAAUGGAUAUAUGGAAUGUAUUGAGUAGAGUUGAGAAUGUUAAGUUAAAGAAUAUGUUUUGUGUGUCUAGUUGUUGAAUGCACAAGCUAUUAAACUUGUUAAAAGGAAAAUCUUAGGUGAUAUGGACGAAUGGUAUUGUGGUUGGUUAGUUACAUGUUUUGGCAUGAACGUAAGUUGAAUGUUAUGCGAGUUUUUUGUAGCCAUGUAAAUAAUACUUGAAUUAUAGGUUGUUUGGCACAAGUUAGGCAAUUAGAAAGACACAUGUAUUUUCAACACGGGCUAGCACACAGGCGUGCGCCACAAAUAGUCUGGCCACAUGCCCUUUGUGAGUACUAUAGUUUUGGUAAAUUUUGUACCAAAAGAUCACAGUUGGUUACAUGGCCCGGCCACACGACUAUGUGACACCUGAAUUGCAAUUUGGUCUUUCUUUUAUGAAAAGUUUCAAAUCGGUUAUUGAUUGAUUCUGUAAUGGUUUUUGAGCUUUAAUAAGCUCGAUUUAAGGCCAAACUUGUAUGCAAAGCAUGAAUUGUGUUAUUGUUUGAGAUUCAAAGAUUGUUGUGAUCAAUUCUCGAUUUGAAAUCUCAUAUUCUUGUUCUGUUAUUUACUGUAGCAUCCCGUAAUCGAUUCCAGUGACGGAAACUAGUGAGGGGUGUUACAUUUCUCCUUCUUAUGCCUUCGGCCCCCUUUAUUAAUCCACUUACAUUUCAACUUUUACUUUCAUAGAGUUUCUUCGUAGUCUAGAAUUGCUUCUAGAUAUUCAUUGAGUUGCAUUUUCAACUCCACAAGGUUCCUCAAAUUGUGAACUUCCAAGGCUCUCUAGAUUCCUUUCAAUAUUGUUAUUAAUCUCUUCUUUAUUCUAAAAAUGUUACCAACCACUUCCUCAUUCAAGGUUUUGCUUGUAUCAAUAAAAUGAUAUAUAAUACUCUUAAUAUUUUAAUCCCAUUUCUACACUUCUUUAACAGAAUCCUUAAAUGAUUAUGGUAUAGCCACUCUUUAAAGAAGCAAAACAGUUUAUCCACUCUCCUAAUAUCCACCUUAGUCUUAAUCAGUAUUAGACAAUCCGAAGCACUUAGAAUAACGUUGAAAUCACUCGUAAUGAUCCAAGGAUCAUCCAUAUCAUCUGCAAUCAAAUUCUAUACUAUGUAUAAGUUUUAAAUUUAGUUUUUGUACUUUAAUUUGAUCAUUUUUAAUCCUUGUACUUUUUCUACUUUUAAAAUUUCAAUCUUGACCAACAAUAUCUGUUAAAAUCAUUGAGUUAUGAUAUUAUCACAUGUGUAAUGUCGUAUUAGCUUACUAUUUUCACAUAUUACUCAAAAAAAAGUUACUUGAUAGAUUUAAUAACUGUUAUUUGCAUCAAUAUUGAAACUUCAAAAGUCUAAAUCAUAUAGAGACUACGAACGAUCAAAUUGAGGAACACUGACUAGAUCUACAAUUUUAUAUAUAGUAUAGGUCUAAUAAAAGAAUUUAACCAAAUAGAUUUAACUGAUAUCAUUUGGAUAAUGAAUGAAAUUUCAAAAUUCAAAAACUAUAGGAGUUAAAAUUGACUAAUUCAAAAGUACAUAAACUUAAAAAAAAAACAAAAUUUAAAGUACAUAUACUAAACUUAUGACUUACGUAUAGUAUAGGGGUUAAUAGUAGAAUUUAUCUUUUGUUAAUUUUAAACUCCAUGAUUUUUAUAUAUCAUCACCAUUGACCUCUACCCAAUUAAUUGAUACCUAUAUUAUUAAUAAAUUUUGAUGUGAAGUAAUAUAAACUUUGAAUUAAAAUUAAAGCGAAUUUAUAAAAAAAAUUAUAGCAUAAAAUAUAAAAGGUUAAAAUAUGUUAUUAACCUCUAUAUUUCUAUAGAAUUUAAGAUUUAAUUUUUAUAUUUCAUUCUAUCUUUUUAAUUUAAAAGUUCUCAUCCAAUCAUCAUCAUGUUGAUAAUUUUUGUCAAAAUUUAUCAACUUACUAUGUUUCUUUUCCAUCAAUUGUAUGUCACGUCAUAUAAAAUCAACUUAAUCAAUGUGCGAAGUUAACAAUUUUUUACUGAAAAUACAAAAGAUGUCAAUGAUUGGAUUGAUAUUUUUAAAUAAAAAAUAAAAACAUUUAAUUUUUAACUUUUUAAAUACAUAAACUAAAUCUCAUAUUUGAUCAAAACAUCAUAUUUUAGCAUGAAAUUUAAUAAUUUUAUAAGAAUAUUUGACAAGGAUUCUCUACUUCUAUAAACUUUUAUUUCAUACUAUCUUUUACACAUAUUCUCUUUACUAGUAUGUUUUUUUUAGCACAAUGAUAAAUUUAGCUCUUAAUAUUUACAUUUUUUUUUGUCAAUUUUAGUUUUUAUUCUUUGUUUUCUAGUUAAAUUUGAUUAUUAACCUUUUGAAAAGUGUCAAAAUUUUUUAACGAAAAUACUGAUUAAAUCAUUAAAUUUUUGUAAUUAUAUUGGUGUGACAACGCACAUGACAGUCCACAUGUACUUUAUACUGAUAUGACACUAUUUUUCGUAUAAGCCACAUUAAAAAAUAAUUUAGAAAAAGUAUAAAAAUAUUUCACCAAAAAAAAUGAAGUAUACAUGGACUGCCAUCUGCUUCUAUGUUUAAAAUUUUAAUAUUUUAAUUAAUAUUUGAUUUAAAAAAACAAAUAGACUCUUCUCAAAUAUUAAUGAUUAAAUUUGAAUCUUUUGAAAAGGUUAAAAGCCAAAUUUAGCUAAAAAAAAAAAUAAAGACUAAAUUGAUAAAAGAAAAUAUAAAUAUUAAAGGUUAAAUUUAAAUUAAUACCUAUUUUUACCAAAUGAAUUGAAAUUUGAGCAUUACUUUUAAAAUUAUUAUAUUAAAUUAAAAACUUGAUAAUAGAUAUAGAAAAUUCUGAGCUUAGAAUUAUUUAAUUUCAUGAUUUUAUUAAGAAUAAUGAUCUGUUAUAUUCAAGAUAUCAACAGAAAAACAUAUAUAAUGAAACAGGAAAUCCAGCACUCAGCAGCUGUGGCAUUGGUAUACAAAUUAUAAUAAUAAUAAAAAAAAAAUAGGGUUAAGGGAUUAAUUAACUUAAGAGGCAUUGUUCCAAAAUCUCAUUUAUUGGCUCAUCAACAAUUUAACACAUAAAUGAAUCUAAUUUUCAUCGUCCACCAUUUCUAUAUUACAUACACACUUAAUGAUUUAAUUUAAUCUGUUUAUUUCAAACACACUGUUUUUUCUUCUUCUUUUUUUUUUAAUAUUUGAGUAUAAAUUGAAUUAAAACCAACCAUAUUUUUUAAUAUCUAACCUUUCUAUCUUUCCAUUAAUUAAGCCAAAACAGUCGCAUCCAACGUUGAAACUAUCAGCAUGAGCUGGCAAAUCAGUGGGUCCCAUUGACCAGAUUUUUUAGCGGUCGAGCGGGGGUGAGUUUUGCGACGUGGCCUUCGAAAAGUUCGACGUGCAAGGCAUCUCGCGUAUUUUAAUGCCACGUCAGACGGGGGGAUCAAUUGUUUCUGACCAACUAUUUGAACUUUUAGAUUAUGCUAAUUGCUUAUUUAUUGUAUUAAUAUUCCAAAAAUAGGUUAAACUAUGAUUCAUUUCAAAGACUAUCCUUUUAAAAUAGGUUCAUCUCACCAAUACCCACUUCAUGGUGAAGUAUAUGGUUGUAAGUCCUUUCAAACUUGGCGUAUAUUAUUAAAUUGUCACGUAUUAAUUGAAUAUUAUUUUUUAAAAAAAAUAAUUUAAAUUAAAUUUUAAAGAGGAAAAAUAAAAAUAAUUAUCACUAAAUAUUUUUAAAACUAAGUUUUCAGAAUAUUAUCUAUUAAUAUUGAAUAAGUCCUCAAAUUAGUUAUAACAAUAAACACAAUAAAACUUAUUGAAACUUUCAGAAAUCUUUGAAUGUAUCAUAAUCUUUCAGAAACUUAGACUAAGAAGUACUUAAUCUAUAAUGACAUGAGUUAAUGGUUGCGUUUGUUGGAAAAGUAAGCAGGAAUGUGUAUGUUGAAUUGAUAAUUGAUUUCAUAAAAAAAAAAUGGUAUAAUAAGUUUAGGUGACUGUGAUGAUAUUUUCGUGUUGAUAUAUUUAAGUUAUAUUAGUGACGAUUGUUGAUAAAAUGUGUAUUUAUGCCUGAUUGAAUUACAAACUUAGAAGAUAAGUGAAUAAAUAAAUGUACAAAAAUUUUAGAAACAUAAGCCUAGUAUUAUGACUUAAUUCACCUUUAGAAACUCGAGUAGGUAGUAGUAGAAAUCCUUGUAAGAUUUUGUUUAGAAUUUGGAUUGAAAAGUUCAAUGAGAUUUUAAGUGAAGUACUAUGUUCUCAUAUGUAUAUAUGAGAUCCUUUAUUAUGUUUUGAGAAUACUGAGCGAAUGAAAGAAAUAGUAAUGCUUCUAAUGUGUAUUGGUGAUGUGUCAUUGAUCUUGUACCGGAAAUGGAUAAUGAUUGAUUGUAUAUUUAUGCAUUUUAAUAUCUAAUUCGAGAUUAGAAUUCCGAGCUUAAAAAUAUGAUAGAAUGUAGUAUGUGAAUGAUUGGUGAAUCUAUAAAAGUCAUUUAUAGAUAAAAAAUAUAAAUACUUAACGUCACAUCAGAUGAGCCCACACAAUCCUCAAAUGAUAUACAAGGGAGAGUUCUUGACAACACUCGUCAAUUCAUAGCACCCCCAAUCAAAUGAACUCCUUGUACAGUCCUUCCACAUUGACUCCAAUAGUCCUCUCAACUAACAUUCGCCACUCCACCAUUUGCACUUAAGGAGUGAACUUAAUGGUUGUGAUCCAUACCGAGCCAACCUCCUUAGCACCGACACAAGGAGAGGAGACAUAAGUAGUUCUUGUUGUCUACGCUCUACUAAAAUAUUACUUCAGCACCUGGAAAACUCUAUUUUAACAGCUCUGUGCACCUUGUACAAUACAAACCGCCCUUAUUUUAGCAACUAUUCGCACACCUACAAUAUGAAUAAAAGUUUUAUAACAUGUUAAUAAUUUAUUUUAUAUGAAUUUUCACGUUGUUGUCAUUUUCGUUGGAAAAUUUCAAAUCUAAGUGAUACUAUUGAAAUGAUUCCCAAUUUUGUAUCAGUUAUCAAAUAAUGUGUGCCAAAAUGGUUGUAUGUUAAAAUUUGUAGUUGUUAAUUUGUUAAAGUCAAACAUUGUGAUGAUAAAAAAUGCAUAAAAACAAUGAGUUGUGGAUCCUGAUUGUUGCCCACUCACAAAUCUUAUUUAUUCCAUAUUCAACGAUGUGUUCCUAACCCAAAAGGCAAAACUCUGUUUUUGGAAUAAAUAAAACACUUCUUCUUAGCUUCGAAAGGAAGUUUACAGAUAAGGAGGAAUUUAAAUAAAGAUAAUAUUUAAAAAUUUAAUCUUUAUAUUUAUAUUUUAUAACCUUUGAAAAUAAAAUCAAUAAUCACAAAUAUUUGGUAUUGGACAAGUCUUGUCAAUGCAUGCUGAAAUAUCCUGACUCAUCCCAUAAUCUCCCCAAGGUUUUUCAUAUAUACACCCUACUAUCCACUGCUAGAAAAGACCUUUAACAACAAAUGACUUACAAGUGUUUCUAACAUUUACAUGCACCAAAUGAGUGAAUCCAUAACGAUGAAUAGGAGUGUUUUAUUGGUUAACCGACUUAAACUACUAAUAAUUUAAUUAAUCGAUUUUUUAAAAUUUUUAAUUGAUAAUUGAAUCGAAUCAAAAUUUAUUUAAAAAAAAUUAAUUGAAUUGAACUUUUUCGAUUAAUUAGGUUGAUUAACCGAAUUAACUGAAAUUUAUAUAUUUUUUUAUUUUUGGUUAAAACAAAUAUAAAACAUAUCAAAAAUUAAUUGACUUAACCGACCAAUUAAUUUAUAUUUCUAAAAAAUUAACCGAACCGACUGAAUACUUAUAUAUUAUAAUAUUAUUUAUUAUUUAUUAAAUUCUGUUAAUUUAGUUAACCGAACGAUUUCAAACCUAAUUAACCGUUAACUGAACUUUUAAAAAAAUUAUUAACUGACUCCGACUGAAUUAAUUCAAUAAAUCAACCGAUUAACCGAACUAAUUUAAUUUUACUCGAAAUUUACACACCCCAAAAGCACUACUAAUUUCUUUACAAUUAAUCAAAUUAACAAAGUUAAAAGUGCAUCUUCACCUUUUUUUUUUCCACUUUAACUGAAUAAUGAAGGUUGGAUACUUAUGCUUUCCAAUUUUUUUUAUAUAGAGGAUGUACUAUAAUAGUGAAAGAUGUAGCACAAUUGACAAGUCUUUCAGUUGACAGUGACGUGGUAAUGAGAGAUGGUGAAUUCUAAUUGAUGUAAGUACUUAUUGAUUGCUUGGGCAUAUUCUCAAAAUGGGUGAUGAAUUACAAGGGGAAGUCAAGUGAAAUUUACGUGGUUGUAGGGUCAAUUUGGAAAGCGAAAUGCAACUGCAGAUUAAAACACUCAACAUGACAGAGCUUAUUUCCUCUAAUCGACUGAAAAAGUACCACCGAUAGAAAAGUCUGACAAUUUAGUUCAUUGCAUACAUUUCCGAUUGUGAUGCAAUUUCUAGUAGACCACAAGAUAUAAUUGGGGGUUAGUAGUUUUGGUAUUCUUAUACGGAAUGCUAAGUAAGGCAUCUGAAUGAGAGAACAAUGAAAUAAAUGAUUGCAUUAUACUACAAGCGCGGGAUGAUAUUGAUUAUCGUGCUUAGCGUCCAUCAUUUUUGUUCUACAGACAUUCUCUUUUAUUAAAAGAUUGUUAUAAAAUGUAUUACAUUAUAAAAGUUUUACUAAUAUACUUAUAAUAAAUAUUUUUGACUAUAUCGAUAUUUUAGAUCACACAAAUUAUAAGAACUAUUAUCUUAGACGGGUAUAAUGAAAAAUCCAUAAAUAUGCACAUAAUUUAUUUAUUUGAUGAUUUAUUCAUAUUUAUUUAAUAUAAAAUUUAACAUAAUUUAAUUGUAUAUUAAAUUGUAUGACAACAAGUGUUUAUGACGUAGAAAACAAUUUCUAUUAGAAGGUAAUCUAAACAACAUCCAUGGGGUCAUGAAUGAGCAAGUGACUCAUUUAGGACUAUUAUGUAAUCUAUAAGUACAAAUGGGGAGAUAACUUGUCUUAGCUAUCCAAGUUGGAUUAACUCCCACGUAGAGGUGUGCAUGGGGUGGGAGGGUUUGGGCAAAAAAUGGACUUGGGUAAAAAAAUAAGGUCUGUUUAAAAAACGGGCCGGGCCUUGGGUAAGAUAUUUUUGGCCCGGGCCCGGCCUGGCCCAAAUUCACUAAAUGAUUUUAUUUUUAUUUUUUAAUAUUAUUUUUUCCCUAUUUUCCUACUAUUUUACUAUUAUGUUGCUACUAUUUUGUUGUUAUUGUUUGGAUAUUAUAUAAAACUUAUUUUAUUGUUAAUUUUUUUAUUAUUUUAAAGACAUUUGCUAAUUUUGUUACUAUUUUAGAGGCAUUUGCUUGUUAAAUUGCAUCUAUUUUAGUGUUAGCUAAGUAUAUGUAUUUUUUAAAAUUUAUUUUCAAUUUGUUGAGAAAUAUUUAUUUUAAUGUUUUUAGUAUUUUUGAUGGUUUAUAAAUAUUUUAAAAUUAUAUAAAAAUAAUAUAAAAAUUAGUAUGGGCGGGCCGGGCCGGGUCGGGCUCGGGUUUUAACAUUUUUAUUCGGGUCGGACUUGGGCAAAAUUUUAGGCCCAUUUUUUGGGUCGGGCCUGGGCCUGAGCCUGGCAAAUGGGCCUAAAUUUUUAGUUGGGCCCUACCCGACCCGGCCCGGCCCAUGCACACCUCUACUCCCAAGAUAGAGAUAUAGAUGUAAUUGUUUGGAUUGAUAAAACAGUGAAUUGUACGCAAAAUGAAUUGAUCCUAAAUCUAUUUGUGGAUUAAUUGACUUGUAAUUUUUAUAGUAUGACUUACCUAAAUCCUAAGUUAAUAACUACGUUUGCAUAUCUUAUAUACUUUGAUACAUUACUAAUUUACGUAUCUCAAAAUAGUAUGUUGGGUAUAUGAGACAUAGAUCCACUUAUAAUAGUGGAAUCUUAGGAGCAUUGUAUGGUUUAUGCAAAUAGAACAUGGCUAUGGGUAAUUUGUGUGGACAAUGAUUUAAUCAUUAUUUGUAUAAAGUAAUGAUUAUUUUCUUUAUAAAGAUACAAUGGCGAUUAUGAGAUGAAAAUAAUUAAAUUAAGUGAAUCAAUUUAACCUUAAAAAAUAUUAAAUAUAUGAUAAGAGUAACACACAUCUCAUAAAGUAAUUGAACUAGUAAGUUUCCUAAUAAUAUAAGAAGAGUUAAUACUUAUUUACAUGAUAUUUUAUAAUACGAACCUUGUAAGUCAUGGAUCAGUGUCGCAAAACAUAACUUUGCCUAAUGGACCAAUUACAAGAAGCAAGACAAGACAAUUGAAAAUCAAAUUGAAUUCUUAUGUUCAAGAAUUCAUUUCUUCUAGCUUGAAAAAGGAUCACGAUGACCAUGACGUCGAGAAGUGCAAGUUUGACUUUUGUUAGACCAAUUUCCGAGUCUUGGAAAAGUUUCCCCUUUUGGAAAGUUAAUAAUUUUCAAAUUUUUCAAUUUAAAAACUUUUAUUUUUAGUAUAUUUUAUCUUUUAAAUAUUUUUUAUUUUGAUUCAUUUUUUACAAUAAUUAUUUGAAUGUAUGUUAUUCUUAAAAAAGGUGAACACUUAACUAAUAGACCACAAAUUGGAGUUCAUAUUUUUAUAAAAUUUAUUUAGCAACCUUUUUGGUAAUAAACAAAAGAAAAAAUUACAUUAAAUUAAAUUAAGUGAAAGUAAACUUGAUUAGGUGCGACAUCAAUAACCUAUAGGCUUGACCUCCAUGCUAAAUUCAACUAAGCUAAACAAUCAGCAACUAGAUUACAUUCUCUAGAAAUAUAUCUUAUCCGCCACCGACCUUUAAUUAUUAUUUUUUAGACUUUUUCAAUUUGAUAACUUUCCUUUUUUGUGCAUAAAAAGUCCUAAUUAGCUAUUUUGUAGGAAUGUCAUCCGUAUAAAAAUUUUUAUUUACUCUUCAUUUUAUUAUUGUGAUAAGUUGACUUUCAAAUCUUACUUCUUUUACUAUUUAUCUUGUUUUGCUUCAUUCAGACUUAAUUUCCAAUUUGGCUGUCCACUCAAAAAUAAUUUAGGUUGGAUUCGUAGUAAGCCUUUUUUUUCUUUUGGUUAUAAUCUAAAACUUGUCCAAAAAGUGGGAAAGUUUAAAUAAAAAUAUAAUUGUUUAGGCAAAAAAAUAUAAAUAAAGUACUGAAUUUUUGUUUGUUAUUAAAAUUCAUUGACAAUCUUGAUGAUACAAUAUGAGCUAAAGAUUUUUUUCAUAUUUUCUCGACACUAAAACUCGUUGCUAACAGGUUCAAGCUCUCUGCACACAAGUUGAUCGCAAUAUUGUCACUUUGCCAGUACACAAAUGUCUCGACAUUUCUUCACUAAAAGCCACCUCAUAAUACUCAAGUCCUCCUUUGAUAGACCCAAAAAAAAUCUCAACUUCAGACUUGAUGUCCUCUAUGUAUCUCUAAUUUGGGUUUUCCUCCAAAUCAAUUUUUUCAUUUGUUCAAAAUGUUAAUCAAAGCUUUUGAUUGAAAUAAAAAAUAAUUGAUCAUAUAAUCAACUAGGACAAUAAAUCAAUUGGCCACCUUAUCUAAGAUUGUAAUAUUAAUUACUAGCAUUAGAAAGAUAAUGUUCACAAACUCAAUAGUUCUUAAUAACAUAUCAUUCAACAAAGGAAAUAUUAAAAUAGUAAUAAAAUAACAUAAUAUAUAACAUAUUCAAGAAUUUUUAUAACACUUUAUAAUAUUCGUCAUAAAAACAUUUACAUGAUAAAUUGAGUUGUAAAGAGUAAUUGAAAAAUGCUUAAAGCAUUUUGAUUGUUUUAGGGUUCGAAUAUAUAUAAUGAUAAGAUAAAAAGAAAGAAGAGAUUGAUAAGAUUUGAGAAAAAUUAUAUGGGUAAAACCUAAACUCUGAUCUCAACAUCUAUGAAUGUCAAACUCAUGCCAGUUAAUAAACUCAUAUUAAUUGAAAUACAAUAUUCCUUAGGACAUCUAUAAAAACGACCAUAACCACAAUAUCUUGAAUAUCUAGUUUAAGGAGUGGUCAUCUCAUGUCCCCGUCCCAAACAAUGGAAGUUAGAUUUUGCAAUGAAUCUUUGACCUAUUAACAUCUUGAUAACUAUAAGUAAAAUUAAAAACCCUUUUCCCAUUGCAUAAGGUUUCAAAAAGCUCCAUAGUGGAUUUUCUCUUUUUAUAUAUAUAAUAUAUAUAUUAUAUUUCUCUUGUUUGGCAAUUUAAACAUUUGAUGGGGAAAGAAAAUAUGUAUUUUAUUGUAAAAUUUAAGUUAAUUUACAUAAAAGUUUUUACAUUAUUUAUAUUUAAUGGCGGAUUUAUUAAUAUAAUUAAAUUUAAGCUUUGAAUUGAUCCGACAUUUUCUUUUCAAUAAAAAAUAACACUUUCAGUGGAAUUUUUAACUUUUACAAAUAGUAUUGAAGGGGUGACAUUGUGAGUAUAAAAUAUAUAUUACAUGUAUAAAAAUUCCACAAACAAUAUAAAAAAUAAUAUCCUAUUAUAUAUAUAUAUACAUUUCUCAAAAACAAAAUAAAAUUUCCUCAGUCGACGAUUUAAUAUACAAAUCAUCUAACAUUUCAUUUCCAUCUGUCUACUAUUUUUGCCUCUAGUAGUUUUCACACUUAAAAAAAUAAGUAAAUUCAAUUUCCCCAGCAUAUGCGUAUGAAAAUAAAAUGGACAUAUUAAAACAACUUCAGACAUAGACAAAUCAUUCAAAUACAUAAAAACAUUGAUGGUCGGGUCUCUGUUGUUAAUCCACAGGCUUGUCAGAAAUAUUUUAUGUUAAAAUUACCAAGUUCCAAAUUUGUAUUUUUUAUUAGUUGUUUUUAUUUGAGAAACUAAAACCCAGUCGCUUUGUAAUUCUUUGCCUUAAAUCUCAUGGAUCACAACUUGUUAUCACAUCACCAAAUAUGAACCCAGAAGCAAAAGGAUGGAAAAAAAACAAUAACCUUCUAUUAUUUUCUUAAUAAACUUUUUAAUCUAAAAACUUACAUUGUUGUUGUCGGGGCAACCCGAAAAUGAUUUGGCCCAGUUGAUGCGUGCCCCAUCACAUCUGGUGAAAAAAAUUGAAGAAGAAUCAACAAGGAAAAAAAUAAGGAUUUUCAAUUUAGUCAAGGGGAUGAUCAGAAGGGAUUUGGCCAAAAAUAUCAGGACAUGAAUCCCAUUUCCGCUGCUCUCUAGCCUCCCAAUAUCCACCAAUAUAUCGAUAUGAAUCACUAUUUUUAUCCUUUGCAAACCACCUUGGCUUCCAACCUCUCUCUUGCAUGUUCCGAGCCUGAAUUCGAUUUGAAAAAAGAAACCCCAAUUAGACAUAAAACAACCUUCAAAAUUAUUUGCUAAAUCCAGUAGUAUAAUAAAAAGUACAAUUAGUUUUUAUUCUUUGCAUGUCUGAGAUUUGAUGCAAACAAAUAAUAUUGAUAUCAGUGUUAAUGAGAAACCGUCUAAAUGGUAGACUUCUAAAAUCUAACGAAGUAUAUGGGUUGAAAUCCCACAAUGCAUACGUUCUUUAAGAGAAUGAAUUCUUCUACUACUUUAGUUCUAUACGCAGCUCAGUGUUAUAACAUAUCAGAAGUCCAUAUCAACACUUCGAUGGUUUUUCAUUAAUUCAAGUUUACUUGUUUGCACCAAAAUCAAGUGCAAAAUGAUUAAAUUAUUCAGUUCUAUAAUACAUGAUAGAACUGUACUUUUGACUAUAGUAUGACUGCCUAUAUGUAUACUUUAACUGCUAAAUCCUUUAACCAUAAAGCAACCAAGAAAAGAAAACCUGGGUUUCGGUGAAAUCCUCAGUAGGGUAUUUAAUAACUUAAGAUUGAUGUUAUUUCCAGCUGUAUGCACCACUCAUGGUUUAUGUUUUCACUACAUUAGUGGCAUCUGCAGGUUAGUUUUAUAAAGCCUUGAAAUGCUCUUAGUUGAUCUUUUUAUAUUAUCCUCAACUAGGAGUCUAAAUCUUGGAAUGAGUAAAUCACAACUACGGUUUUUGGAAGAACAAAACCAAGUUCCUAACCCACAUAACAUCUACAUGUAAUUAUAAAUCAAUAGUUCCUGGGCUCUAUAACUCUUCCCAAGCCAAUUUGCUUCAUUGAUACAUGGAAUUUGUUGCAGAAAAGAAAACUAAAACUUACCUGUCGUUGCCGCUGCUCCAACCGCAGCUUCUCUGAAUUUGCCAUUUCAUACUCCCCAUUUUCCAGAUACCUUUGAUCAGGUCUCAGCCUUGAAUCUGUUGGAGGCAACUUCUCCUGUGUACAUCAAGGAGAUUGAAAUCAACAUGCCAAUUACUGCAAGCAAUUCUGAGGGUACCUAGUUGGUGCAUCGGUUUCAAAGUCAUUCCAUUUAAUUCCUAUAGUUUCAAUUGGACAAACUGAUUUGAUCUUUAGGACCAAAAUUUCAUUACCAAAAAUCAAAUAUAAACCAGCAUUUCACAAAAACCAUCAAGGUAUUAGAUGUAAUUCAGGAAUUGUAGGGAUAGCCCAAAAAUGCAAGGAAAUAUAUUUAAGGCAUUAGACAGCUUCCUAGUUUUAAUCCAAUCGAAACUAUUAUAACAAUCACCUUCAGACCAGGAGUGAGCUCAUUCAAUGUGAUGGCAAAACGUGUUAAGUUAUAUCUGGUGGGGUAUUUAGGAGGCUUGCUCCGCUUCCAGAGCAGAUGGGUUUCUGACAAAGAGUCCUGUCCUUUUCCCUUUGCAGAACAAUCUCCAUUCACAUAAUGCAUGCUGUCAUCCCAUUUUCCAAAUAAUGUGGCCACUGUCUUUCCAUUUCUAUCUUGAACUCCACCAUGUACCUGGAAUGCAAUAAAGUUUUAUAAACUGAUAAAUGCUUAUGAUGGUUAAAAAGAGGAUGAUAGAACAAUAACAUAAUUCUAUUAAAAUGAUUUGAUAUAUUUAGUAAAUUGAUUAUUUUUCGGAAGAUGAAAGAUCACCUGGUGAGGGUUUCUAUCUAUGAUAGACUGCUCCUUGAAUUUCAGCUUACAUGAAUAGUCACGAUUCCCCUCUAUUCGCAUAGCACCAUAGUGAUCACAAUACAACUUUCCCAGUAUGAGAUUGUAUAUUGAUGUCGUCACCUGUCAAAAGAAAAUCCAUCUAAGUUUGGUUACAACACAUACGCCAAAUUGUUCUUAAAUUUUGGAGUUAUACCUUACUCCACUUGAACACUUCUCCAUCAUCAAACUCCAAGGUCAACACACCCACAGGAUCUAGCUGAAUUGAGCGACCCCAGAAUUUGCUCUUUAAAUUGCUAUCACCCCACAACUUCCAUCCUGUACCCUGACAAUGACAUGCUACAAUCAUAGGAUGAUGACUGACCUGACAUCAAAAAUGGAAUAACUAUCAGCAACUUCGUGGAUAGCAUUAAAGCAGAAACAAAUAAAAAAAAGGGACAAAGAGAUGAACUGAAAAAAAUAUAGCAAGCAGUGUGCUUUUCUUUUGCCAGUACGGAUAAUAUAAAUGAUACUGAAGCCUAUUAAUAUUCCCACUUAUUAACACCUAAAUGCAUAAGUUAGUAUUUAAGAUCGUCUAUUAACUACACUUGUAAAUUAUGAGAUUCAAAAUCUUUAGCACACACUCCUGUUUCCCCUUACACAAAUUCGUUUGUGGUUGGCCACCCAAGCAAUAUCAUUUUAGGUGAUGAUUGAAUAAAUAUGCUACCUUAUUCCUUACUACCCUAUAUAUUAGCUCUACUCCAGUUGCAUCCAAAACAAGGAUGCAACUUUUUGGAUUGGUAUUUAGACCAGAAAAAGAAAAGGAAGUGACAGAAGAACAAUCAAAGAGAAGCAAGCUAAAAAAGGAAAUCCUAGCUCUGCCUUUCUGUGAACCAAACGAUCAAUAAUAUACUAAACUUGCACAGCUCAUGCAGUACAGCAAAUUUGGCAUCAGGCGUAGCAAACUUGUUUCAACUCCAUAUCACUGUACUAACCAAGUAAAACGAACCAAAUAGAAUGUGCAAAGUCAAAAUUAAGGAAAAUAUUUUAUUGCAUGAAAUAUACAAGCAAAAAAGGUUUUGAUGUUCUAUGAAUAUUGAAUUUAAUAAAGCAAUAGGUAGGUCAAAUGAACCAGGCCUAUUCUUCAGUCAAAGGUUUGGCCUUUAAAGCAAGAUUAAUAUGCUUUAAAUUUUGAAUAUUGAUGUGUAAAUGCAGAAAAACAGAAAGUAGAAAACAAGGAUAGACUAUAUCUCAAAUACAGCCAAACCUUCUCUGAGAAGAAGCGUACACCUUUAUCUGGGAAGUCAGCCUCAUAUGUUUCUCCUAAUAAUGGAUUAAAGGGUUUGCAAAUUCUUGCUUCUGUUGAAGAAUAUCCAGACACAGCAAAUGCAGCCACAUUAAGAAUUCUCAUUAGGUUAUUUCCCUGCAAAUUUUUUACGGGAAAUUAUGAGUCCCAGGGGAAUCUCACCAAAAAUCCAGAUUGUCAAAGUUUAUUAAGGGAAUGAACUGCUAAAAGCAUAGCAACUAGCCUUUUGCACAGUCAAGUACAAAAUAGGUGUGAAAGAGAGAAAUGAUGGGGAAAAAUCAGAGAGCCCUCAGGUAUACUAUGACUACGUUAAAUAAGUGAUGUGAUUACAGAUAAAUAUAAGCGCAGGAAAAUUUUAUUUUGCAACCAAUGCUCUGUUCUCUAAAAUAAAAUAAUAUGGAGUUCAAAGGCUCACCCUUUUACCCCAUUCAUAUGCACGAUCAAGCAGAUAUGAAUAUUCCAGAUCCUCAAAACACUUUUGAAGAGAAGAGAGAGGCUCAUUGAAGUAAACAGGAAGACAAACUUUUGUAAGGUCUUUCCCAAUAUUCUCCUUGAUCAUUGACCAAAGACUUACACUUUUCUCCCUUUCAACUGGGUCAGGCAACUUUUUUCGUCGUUUAAUGCUAGGAAAGUUACUUCCAACAGAUUUGAUGUAAGGAUCGAUGUUGUCUUCAGAAUCAUCAGCAAUAGUACCUUCAUCAUCAGAAGAAAAAGAUGAUCUCCGGAGAUCAGAUCCAUUGCUUCUGAAAGAACUUGAUGACAAAAUGUCACGAGUGUCAAAGAAUGUAUGGUCAUCUUCAUCAGUUUCUUCUUCUGCAGCGUCAACUCUUUCAUUAUCAUCAUCUGAGUCAGUUGAACUUCCUUCUGAGUAAGAAUUCAAAGAGAAAAGAAAAAAAAUUAACAAAAGAAAGCAGUGCUAUGAAAACAUUUAAGUAAUAACAAUUUCCAUAACCAAACAUAUAAGAAAGCCAUGCACAUGAACGAAGAAGACAGUAUAAGCAAUUUCUAUAACUAAGCAACCAGCACAAUAACAAUUUUAAUAAGUCAGCUCCAGAAAAGGCCAAGCUUCGGCGGUGGCUCAGUGGUCAUAUACUCUUCCUUAACGGAGGAAAGACCAUGGAGACCAUUUCUAUAUCGUGCUCCAGCCUAUCCGGAAGUCUAUCUCUGCACUUAAUGAUGCAUAAGAAAGGGAUAAAAGAACGCAUAAGGGACAAAGAGCCAAGAAUAGCAACUUCAAAUUGAUGGAAAGGAGAAUAAACUUAUAAAACAGAACAAGUAACAAGUAAAAACAAAGAAAAGGCACAGACAUGAACCAGCUCAUCUUUUGACAACAUAAAAAGAAAGCAUUAUAAGUUGUCUAAAAAUAAGUAUAGGUAAAACUCAGGCACAUGUCUGAUAGAAUUGAAAGAAAAAAAGUUCCUGAACCAAUAGCAAGUUGUGAGCACUGAUUAUAAACAUCAACCACACGUACCCCAAAACAUAAUAAAUAGUUCAGCAUAAAUUAAGGGACCAGCAGUUGUAAUAAGUACUUCCAGUGCCUAGAAUCUUACCACUGGACUUGUCUUGCCUUAUCAUAGAAGAAGCCCCUAGAUCAAUCAACUUGUUUUGGCUCUCAUCAACCACUGUAUUCUCCAGAUCAACUUUUUCUGUCUACAAAAUAAAGUACACAUAGCAGUUUCUUAGCAGAAGACAAAAAUGAGAACUAAAAUCUUUGUUUCAGAAGUUUUUAAUUCUGAAAAUUAAGCAAUUUUAAGUUUUUAAUUCUCCAAAAGUACAUUUGCAUGAAAGUUAAAAAGGAAGUGAAAGUACUUUGAGCAGAAAGUAAUUUUAAGUUACUUUUCCAUGUACAUGUUCAUAUUCUCAAGGAAAAACAACACGAAUAGGACACCCCAUAAAAGAGUCCCCUCCCUCCCCACUCCCCCCGAGAAAAAAAAAAAAAAAAGAAUUACAAAUUUUAUCUGUACUCAUGCUACUUGGUCAAAAGAAUGCUCACAUGUAAUCAAAUUAUAUCAACUGCAAGUUGAGGAAUUUUAAAAUUCUUCCAGUAUGAAGUAAAACCUUCGGAUUACUUGAAGGCCACACACAUCACAUUUAAUUUGCUCCAUCAAAUAGCCUACCCCCAAAUAUCACCGACCCAACCACCAGCACAACUGCUACUGUCACCGCCAUCAAUGCCAUACAAGUUCCACAACAAAUGCCUCGCUAUAUUGACAUUUAUUUUAUCUCGAAUCAACCACAACACCACCAACGUUUUAUUAACUAAAAAGAUGACAUAUAAGACCAGACUCCUCUCGACUUCUAUAACGGAGUAUUAGCAAGAGGCAGUACCGCAACAAAAAAAAAAACUCCCCCCCCCCAACUCUUAUAAAAGCAAAAUAUCAUCAAAAUAUUCCUUCAUGAUAUCCUAAAUAUCAUACCCCUUUAUAAUUUCUAUGAAGAAAAAAAAGAAAGGGAAAUCAAUGAAUUUGUUUUGAAAAAAUCAAUCAAGUUUUAAUCAAAUUGAAUGAAUAGGUAUUGUAUUAUAAUUAAGAUAAACACAUACCUCUAAUUGACGCAAGGUAUCAAUGAGAAGACUUUGUUUCUGUUUAAGCAACACUAGAUGGUUCUGCAAUGCCGAAAAUUCACUCUUCAUAAUCUGUUCACUAUCUUGGAUAGCCAAUUCGUUUACCCUUUCCUGCAUCAGCCGUUGCCUCAACUUUUCAGUUGAAACCGCCACAUUGUCCAUCGGAGCCAUGAGCUCGCUAUUUGACAUCCUAGGAAACAUAUCUUUAACCGCCUGAAGCGCCUCCACCCACGCAACCCGAUCAUCCCGAGCCUCGGCUCGUAAAUGAAGCCUCUUAGUUCCGGUGAAGAUCGAGAAUCUCUUAUCAUCUGAUCUGCUCUCCCUUAUAGAGGAAACCUGAGAAAAAUUCAAGAAUCAAAUAAUUGAAAAACCAAAUCAAAUUUGUUUUUUUGUUUUAUUUUCCAUUAAUUCAUUAAUAUUUUUAUUUUUUAACCUUUAGGUGGACUUCACCAAAGGGUUUCCGACGGUUUUGGGAAUGACGAGAAAUGGAAUUGCGAUGUCGGGAGAUAAGACGGAGAGAUUCUUCGCCGAUAACUUUGGAUCCUCUUUCCGUUUCUUGGCUAACGACGAUUUUAUCAGGUCCGUGGAUUUUAUAAUAUGAUAAAACUCCGUCCUGCAAAACGAACCAUCUCGGUUUCCAACCUUUCCCAUAAUUCACCCAUUUGUAAAGCACUCCCGAUAUUCCGUUCCCCACGAUGUUGUUUAUCUUCACAUCCACUUGCGGCGGAGGAGCCGGAGCCGGAGCCAGAUUCAGAGCCUUCGAAACCUCUCUUCCCAACGGUGUCCCAUUUCUCUGGCUCAUCCGAUUCAAAUCCACGCUACUAGUACGGCGAUGUUGGUUGUUCUGAUUUUGAUCGGACUGGCACAGGAUUUGGACCAUAGAUCGAACCGAGUUGGAUCUAAAUGAAGAGCCGGAAGAGGAAGUGGUUGUUACGGUAGUUACAGGUGGAUGAGGAGGCAUGGCGACGUUGUCGGGUAAAGGUUUGACUGGGGAAUGAUCCGAUACGGUGGAAAUACAGCAGAGAGGAUGCAUAGAAUUGAACUUGCUUUUCUUUUUAUUUAAUAAAAUGAAAGAAUUAGAAGAUUCCAGUAAUGACGACGGCUGACGUCGAGGCGGAGCACGGUGGUUGCAGUUAAGCUUUUCAUGGAACUAUCUUUUUUUCUUGGAUUGGCCUUUUUCAAAUGAUUUCCUUUUCUUUUCUGCAGAACAAUUUGCAGAGACGGUUACAAAAUGACAGAAAAAAACGACGGCGUUUUGAGCAAAGAAAUUGGGCGUUGGAGUGAAGUUCGGCGGAGUAUCCUGUGAGAGAGAAAAAUCCGGUGAGUUUUGGUACUGGUUUGAUUUGAAUGAAGACUCUGAAUAACUACGCAACGGAUUGUCGAUUUUUAAGGAGCUAAAAAUGAGAUAAAAUUAAAUUUGAUGAUUUGUGUGUAUACAUAUUUUUUUAUGGAUUUAUCUUUUUUUGUCAUAUUAAUUUAGAUAUUUUAUGUUUUUAUUUUUUAUAAAUUUUGAUUUUUUUUGUCUAUCAAUGUGUUUACAACUUAUAGUAACAAUCCUAACCACUUAAUUAAAAGUUAGUCUCAUUUACUAAUUGGGUUUCAAUUCAAAUUAUAAAGAUAUUUUUGUUUUUUAUAUUUUUAUAAAUGAAUAAAACAAUUUUUUACUUAAAUUUAUUUUUAUGACAUUUUACUAUCAACGAGAUUACGGUAUAUCCACCGAUAUACAUGACAAAUAUGUUUAUUAAAAAUUAAUAUUAAUAGCAAAUAAGAUUUUAGAUGAAUAGUAAAGUAUAAAUGUUAAAAAUUAUAAAAGUUUAAGUUCAAAUCCUAUUGCUUGUGAAUAGUUUUAUAUAUAUACACAAUAUUAGGGGUACAGAUUAGGGUAACACGGUUCGAAUCCAUAUUAAACGGGUGUCUGAAAAAAGUUUUAAUCACCAUAUAAUUUACUAUAUAAAUUAAGAUAAUUUUCAUAAUUUCUCAAUUAAACUGUCUAAUUGAUUCGUGACUUCAACUCAGUCAAGUGUUUAAUAUGUAGUAUAAAUAUAAUUAGUAUGUUGUAUCUUUUAUUUUAAUUAUUAUUUGUGUAUUAUAACUACAUUAAAAUUAUUAGAUUAUGGUACUCCCUCUGUAAAUAUAAAAUUUAUAUAAUAAAUUUAUUUAAAGAAAUAUUGAAAUUAAUUAUGUGUUUGGUUAAAAUGAUAAGAUUAAAAUAAUAGAAGUAUUUCGAGAUAAAAUUUUAUUAUAAUAAUAUUUUUUUUAAGUUAAGUCGAAACUAAAUUAAUAGUAUAUAACAAAAAAAAUUAAAACUAAAAUAUGAAAAUUGGGUUGGGAAAUAAAAAUGAAAUGAGAGAGAUAUUAUAUGUUAAGUUAGAAUAAGUUUAGAUGAGUGAUAAAAGGAGGUGCGGUGCGGUGCAAUACACUCGUUUAAAUGUAUCACUCAUUUAAGUUCACCUUUAAUACUAGAAAGGGUGUUGGAUUGGAUGCGGAAAGAAGUUGGGGAAGAGAAGACUGGGACGCAGUGAGAAUAAGAAAAGUGGAAGAAGGAGAGAAGGAAACGUGGAGGAAAAUGAAUGGUUGGGAAAGAUUGACAUGAACUAAGCUGAAAGUAGGCUUUUGAGUGUACUAAAUAAGGAUAAAAGCAGAUGGUUUGGCCUAAAUAACUGAUUCAGUGUGGUCCAAUUUUCUUUAUGCUACUCUAGUGGUAGUUUCUAAAUCUUGACCAUCAUUUUGCUCCACUCAACAUUACGUAUUGCCUCUAUUUCUUUUAUUUAUAUCUUUUUAAUUAUAUUUUUUUUUAAGUUUUAUAAUUUAUAAAUACAAUACAAUUAUAAAUAUAAAAUUAAAAAAAUUGAAUCAAGUUCAUAUAUUACUUACACAUUUCAAAUUUAUAGACUCAAAUAUUCAUAACUUCUAUCUUAAUCAAUAAUGUUAAUAUCUCAUUAGUAGAUGUAUUUACUAGCGUUAUAAAAAUUUUGAUAACAUUAUGAGUUUUAUGUAACGGAUACAAUUUGAUAUUGUUUUCUUUUAUUCUUUAUGUUUGUUUUAUUGUUCAGUCCAAGAUUUAUGAUUGUUAAUCUCAACAAUGUUGUCUUCAAAAUUCGAAACAAUAUUAUCUUUCUGAAAAUACAAUAUAUCACGAUCAUUGUACUGUAUAUAUUAAUAUUACUGUUGUAGUUACAUGAUCAGGGAUGAAACAAGUCCCUUUUAGCUCCUAGAAGGUUUAGUUUCCCUUUUAGUCCCUCUUAAAAAUUGAGGGUUUAAUUUUAAUAAUUUUAGCAUUGAUGAAAUAAAAAAGUUAUACUUUUGGCUCUUAGAGAAAAUUAUUUAUUCAAUUUAAAUCAUUUUUAACUUCUCCAAAAUUUUUCUCGACCAACCAAUACAAGAUUUUUUUACUUCACCCUUGUACAUUAUCCUUUUCUUCUUUCUAUUAGAUUUUAUUGGCUACUAGAUCUAUCAAUAUUUAAUAUAAAAAUUGUGGUUUUGAUAUUCAAAAUUAGCACACAAAUAAUUCAGAUAACGUGACUCUUUUUUUCUAAAGAUGAGAUAUUAGAAAAGUUACAUAUGUGUAAUUUGGGGAUUAUAACCCUAAUAUAUAACUUUUGCACAUUAAACUUAAUUUCUAAUUAACCCAUCAUCAAUUAGAAAUUAGUUACUAGAGUAUCUACACAUAUUUAACAUAUAUUUUAUUUAAUAACUAAAGCCCAAUAAAUCUUAACCAAUUUAGAUCACUUUUAAUUUGGGCUAAUUUUUUAUGAUAAUAAAUAAUAUGUAAUUACUAUUAUUAUAUAUGUGAUGUCUAUAUUUUUCAACAAUAUCCCACUUAGACCGCAUAUAUAUAUUAAUUACUCUGCAAUCACAUGUCAUUAUACCAAUAUUCAAAUUUAAAACCAAAUUAUUGCUUACAUAUAAAACCAAAUAAUCAUCACAUGUUUAUUACCACAGUUGCACAUAUAAUUUUGUUAAAUAUUAACCUUCUUUUAGGCCAAUCAAUAUUAACGUAACUUAAGUUACAUGCACACAACCUUUCAUAUUUUAAAACAAAAUAAUUUCAAUAACAGAGGUCACUUUGACAACUUAUUAUUUCAAUUAAGUUAUUUUAAAAUACAUAUAAAUAUACCAAUAUUCAAAUUUAAAAUUUAAAAUUUUCAUAACAAUUAAAGGUCAAAACUAAUUUUUUUAAUUGCUCUAUAAAUUCCAAAAUAAAGUUGUCUUAAUGCCACCAUCAGAACCGAAAACCUUAAUUCGACGAAUUUAAUUAAAUAAUAAUAAAUGAUGAAUUAGUCAUAGAACGAAAACAAAUUCCUUUUGCCAACUAGCCAAUUCCAUCAUUAUAGUGUCAUGACUAAUGCUUAAAAACAUAAUUCAUUUAGAUUUACACUAAAGCAUCCAACAUUAAAAUUUUCAGAGAAGAAAAACAUGGAAUAUGCAAAUACACAAACAACAAUAGGGCAUGCUCUGAGAGAAAAAUAUAUCCAGAACUACUAAUUUAAAAAAAAAAAGGAAACCAAAGAAAUAUUCUAGCAAAAACUCAAAUUCCCAAAGUGUGAAUAACAUGUUUGUUAUGGAUUACUCACUUACCAUAUGCAAAUCAUAGAAAAAAGCAAAAAAAUGGUAUGAAAAUAAGUGAUCAAAUAAGAUACACUACCCAAAGUCCCAACAAUAGUAUAUUUAUCAAAUAAACUAUAAUAACCCAGAAAAGUUCAAUAAGCCACAUCUGCAUACACACGACAUCACAAUCAUAAAAAAUCAGUAAUCCAACAGUAUAAACAAUAUGAUUGUUUGAAGUUUUUUCUUUUUAAAAGGAGAUGGAAACAAAAAUUGAAGGCACGACAAUGACUUUCGAAGAGCAUGGCAGCGACUUUAAGAAACGCUAAAUAGUUGAUAUUUAGAUGGAUUGGUACAACAAAUGUGGCUGAAAUUGCAAUAAAAAAGAGCAAAUUCGAGGGAUGAUCGACACUUAGCAGCAGUAAAUUGGAACGAAAUUAAUAGCAAUUGGCAGUGCAAGUGGACGAAAGAGUAAAAAGUUAAUCAAGAACAGCAUAAAUUAUAAACUUUGAUCCUUUAAUAGCAUAUGAAAAUGUGAAAUCAAUUUAUAUUUAUAAAACCUUAAAACUUUAAUUUAAAGAAUCAAAAACAAAAUUUUUUUAUCAAGAAUCUCAAAGAUUCAACAUAGUAUAUAAUUGAAAUGUCGUAACCAUAAAAUUUGAAAAAAACGAAUCAAUUCAAAAAAAAAUGAAUCAAUUCGUUCUCAAUGGUUCAACAUGAUGAGCUUUGAUACCACUUGUUAGAACUGUAAAAACAAGACUCAUGAUCUAUCAUGUUAAAUCAUCAAGAACAAAAUUAAAUGCGGAAGCGUACUUGAAUCCAUUGAUUUCUUGGAAUAUUCGAUCUUGUGGUUUUGAUAUUUUAAAUCAGCACACAAGUAAUUCAGAGAAUGUAGCUCUCUCUUUUUUAAAGAUGAGAUAUUAGAAAAGUUACAUAUGUGUAAUUUGAGGAACAUAACCCUAAUAUAUAAGUUUUGCAGAAUAACCCUAAUUUUUAAUCAACCCAUCAUCAAUUAAAAAUUUAGUUACUAGAGUAUCUACAUAUAUUUGACUCAUACUUUAUUUAAUAACUAAAGCCUAAUAAACCUUAAUCAAAGUUAAAUCACUUAUAAUUUGGAUUAAUCUUUUAUGAUAGUAAAUAAUAACAUGUAAUUAUUAUUAUAUAUGUGAUGUCCAUAUUUUUCAACAAUAGAUACUCUAACUGACAUAUCUAAUUAUUGUUUAUUUUAUAAUUUGUGUACUUUUAUUGUAUUUGUUAUAUUAGAUUUUUUUUUUUGUAAAUUUUGAUGCGUUGAUAAAUUGUUUUAUAUAAAUUUUAACAUGUUAAUAUAUUUUUAUCAUGUUUUUAUUAUUUUUAAUUAUGUUUUGUUUUAUUUAUUUUAUCUUGAUUCUUGUUAAUAUUGUGUAACAUAUUGAAUCUUGUUGAUGUACAUAUGUGCAUUUGGUGGUUGAUGGUGGCAACAAUUGUAACACUCCCUAACCUCGAACCGUCGCCGGAACAAAGUUACGAGGCAUUACCAGACGUAUCAGACAACUUAUGAAUAAUUCACAAAUAAAAUAAUAUUCAUAGCAUAAUUUAAUUACUAAAUCCCUAUAUUGAACUAUUCAAAUCUAAAUCAUACAUUUAAGUAAAACGGGGCUCGUUUAAGUACUCCAAUUUUAUUAUUAUUAUUAUUAUUUUAUAAAUUUCGACAGCAUUUCUGCUUAUUUUUACAUAAAACCCCCUGCAAUUAAACCGUAUUCAUUUCAAACAUAACCAAUUCAACCAAUUUAUUUCACACAUUCAUUUUCUAUUCUAAAUUGCCUUCUAAUCAACUUAAUCAAUAUAAUAUCAAUUUAAAAUUAUCAUUGUACUAAUUAAAUUGAAAUUGAUAGACUUUUUCAUUAUAAUUCGACUUGCAAUACUAAUAUUUUAAACCAUUUAUAUUCAAAACAUAAUAACCUUUAUAUACAUCCUAUGUACAUGCCACAUUACCAAAAGAAAAUAUACAUCACCAAAAGUUUGCUGAAGUCGGGUCUGGCUUUGGAUGAUGGUUCAGUACUUGACUUCUACAACCUGCGCACGGAAACAAUCGUACGCUGAGUAUGCAUAUACUCAGUGGUAUCACUAUAAUUCAGUUUAUAAUUAAAUACAUUAAAUCACACACAUACUUUUACAUUACAAUUAUCAUCACUUAAUGAACAAUUCAAUCUUUUUAUGUUAUCAUUCGAUUAUAUAUAUAUCAUUCUUAUUUCUUUAUUUCAAUUCUCAACUUUCACAUAUGCUAUAUCAUUUAAAUUUAGUUUUAUCAGUAGAUUUAUUUCAUUUGUCCCUAUUAACUUGACUUGGACUCGGCAGAUACAUAGAUUCCAACCAACACACCAGUACGGCACAAUGUGCCUUAACGGUACACAGUACCUAAUCAGUAAUCAGUAACGGUAGCAGUAGCAGUAACAGUAACAGUAUUCAACACACAAAGUGCUGAAUCUGUAACAGUAACGGUAUUCGACACACAAAGUGUCGAAUCGGUAACAGUAACGGUAAUAGUAACAGUAGUCGGCACAUAAGUGCCUGAUCAGUAAGCCGACAAAAACUCGUACUCUUCCAUAUCCUAUGGCAUGCCAACUAUAUCCGACUAGCCCGACUAGUUAAUAGGGUAUUUAAAUUAUUUUUCAGUACAAUUUCCAUUUCGAUUCAAUAUUAAUUAUAAUUUAUUAUUUUGAUCAAUUUUCACAGUAAUUCAGUAAUUCACUUCAUUAGAAAUUUUACAGUUCAAUGCAAUAUACGUAACAUUAUUCAGUAAUUUCUCAGUUCAAUUCGGUAUUCAAAACAAUAUUCAGUAUCCCAUAAUUCAGUUCAGUAUCAAUCUCAAUUUUAAUACCCAAUCACAAAUUUUAUCAGUUCAUUAAAUACUUACCUUAAAAAUACUUACCACACAUUCAUAUUAAAUUAAACACAUAUUAAUUAUAAAGAUUGGGUUAUAGUGAUACAAACCAGAAUUCUCUUCGGAUUUAAUCCUCGACGAUCUUUCAUUUUCCUUUUUGGGCCGAUGCUUCAGGCUCGAUAUUAGCUACGAACAAUUAAAAUAAUUUCACAAUUAUUAGCAUAACACAAUUUAAACGCUGAAAUUUUUAUCUAACUUUUACUUUAAUUCCAAUUUAAUCCCAACUAAACCUAUAUAUUUUUCUUUCUCAAUUCAUACCUUUUUGCUACUCAAUUUCUUGCCAAACCCACAUCUAACUAUUUAAUUUUUAUCAUAUUUUCAUAAUUUCGAAUUUAUUUCAAUUUAAUCCCUAAAACUCAAAACUUAUAGCUUAGUUUACAAUUCAAUCCUUUAUUCAAUUCUAACUUAAAAUUUAUUCAAUUAAAUCCCUAAUUCAUUAUUUUGCUCAACAUGAACUAUGUUCAAGAACCUAAAAACUUUCAAAAGCUUAACUUAAUUUCAACAAAACUUUGUUCUAAAGCUUCUAAAACAUCAAAAUUAACUAAAAAGGACUUAAUUGACUUACCAAUCAAAAUUUCAAGCUUCAAAUCUCUAAUUUUUCCUUUUUCUUUCCUAUUCUGUUUGUUUAGUUUCUAUUUAUUUUAUGCUUUAUCUUUUUUUUUUUACUUUAUUUAAUUUAUAUUAUAUUUAAUUAAUAAAUAUCUAUUUAAUAGCAAUUAUAUAUAUAACAAUUGUACACACACAUGUUUUACAUUUGUCCAAUAUCACCACCCUACAUUUGUCAUAAUUUUAUUUAAUUAUCACAUAAAAUCUUAUUUUAUAAUUAUUUAAUUAAUAAAUAUCUCUUAAUUAUAAUAUAAUAAAUAAUAAAUAUCUACUAAUUUAAAUAAAAUAUUAUAAUUGUAUAAAUAUUAUCAUUACAUAUGUAUAUUUUUAUCACCAUACACUUGUCAUAAUCAUACUUUAUUUAUCAUAUAAAAAAUCUUAUAAUAUAAUUAUUUAAUUAUCAAUAAUUUAAUUUAAUCUAAUUAUCUAUUACUUUAAUAUUAAGUAAACAAAUUAUUUUAUAACAAGUACACAUGUAUCUAUUUAUUACAAAUAUACCAAUAUUUUUAUUACCAUACAAUUCUCUACUAUUUAAUUUAUUUAAUAAUAAUACUAAUAAUAAUAUAAAACCAUAACAAUUAAUAAUUAUAAUAAUCAAUUAUACAAUAUUAUAUAAUAUAUAUAUAUAAUCUAAAUAAAAUCUUAGAUUUUUUUUAAUACAUUUAUGCCGCCUCAACCAUUACUUAAUGGCAUAUUUCCCAUUUUGACCCUUUUUACUUUCUAUUGUUUUAGAAUUAAACUUUUACAUCUUAUUCAAUUUAAUCCUUUUCGCUAAUUACUCUAAAUUAAGCUAAAUUUACUUAAUUAAAACCUAAUUAGACACACCACUAGGCUCAUAAAUAUUUUUAAUAAUUAUUUUCAUACUUAUUUCACUAAGAUAGAGGCCCGAUAACACACUUUUCCGGUGCCCAGGAUUUUGGGUCGUUACACGCCUGAAGGCCGAAAAAAUGAUAGAUGGAUGAAGAUUGAAGGUGUUUUAAGAGUAUGAGAGUUGUAGGUGGUCUAUUAAAAGAGGCGUAGUGGAGCCUUACGUUUCCCUUGUUUUUCUCUUGUGUUGAGAAUGAGAGAGCCCCUUAUAGAGUAACAAAGAAAGGUAUAUAUAUAGCCAUCAAGUCUUUUAAGACAAGUGCGUAUCGCAUAAUGGCCAUGUGUAGUCGUAUAUAGCUUAUGUGCCCGUAGCCAUACAACAUUUGGCAAAGUGAGAUGUUAAGAAGGUCAUCUCUGAAGUUGACUGAGCAAGGUCUCUGUGUGUGGUGGUUGACUUGGCGAGGUCUUCCAAGCAUGGUGGAGAUGUAUAACAAUAGCCCUUUUUGUUGAAGGGAAAAAUAUAUAAAGUGACCUUGCUUAAAACAAAAAAAGUGUUGAGAAGUCUUUGUACUAAGGGAGUCUUUGCGUUGUUAGGAAGGUGCUUUUAAUAAGGUCUUGUUGAUAUAAAGAGAUUCUUUUUAGCAAAAACUUAUGCAUAGUUCUAUUUGUAAAAUCGAGAAAAAUACCAUAAAGUUUGUAAUUUGAUUGGUCUUGCAAAACUUAAAAGGGUCAAUUAAAAAGAUGUUAAGCUUAAAAGGCUGAACUACCUUGAAGGCAAGUGAACUUAAUGUUGGAUUUGGUGUUUUAAGUGUAGUAUUUUCAUCAAUAAACACUUGUAAUUUUUUGAACAAAUUGAUUAAUAAAAUAAAUUAUUGAUUACAAUUAAUAUACUUUGUAUUAUUGUUCUCAAAUAGUUUUUACCCGCAAAUCAAAUAUUGUUCAUUGAUUGUCUAAAAAGAUUUUUAAAAAAUUUAAUUUAAUUUAAUUAAUUCAUAAAUUAUUCUUAAAAUGCACUAUUAAAUAAGUUUGAGAUUCAAAAUUAAUAUCCCAAUUCAUUUUUUAAUCUCAAACAACAAUGAUAAUAUUUAGAUUAUGACGCAUUUUCGAUGUGAAUAAAAAAUUAUUAAUAAAUUUAUAAAAAAAAAAGUUAAAAAAAAAAGCGCUCUAGAUGAAAUGAUAAAAUAAAGUUUAUAGAUAUAAUGAAGUCUUAAAUUUAAAUUCAAUUCACUAUUAUGCACAUGUCUUCAGGCGACACAGAUGGGAGUAGAUUUGGGACUCCAAUGGAUUGAGAUGGAGGGAGAUGCUCUCACAAUAAUAAAAAAAGACAAAUAUCAACACGAGAGAUGAAUUAGUGAUUAAUGCCUACAGUUUUCCAUACCGUUGUUUCUCAUGCAUUGCAAGAGAAAGAAAUGGGUUGGCUCACAUCUUAGCAAUAGAGGGUUUGGAGAGGAAAGAGCAAAUUUAUCUAUUAGAAGUGUCGUUGUUUGCAAGGAGGAAAAUGAAGGAGGAGGGAAUCUUAACCUAUCGGGGAAGCAUUGGGCAAAACGACAAUCAAUUCUUUAGGAAGCUGAAAUGGAAAUGAUAAAGAUGAAGAGAGGAGGCUUCUCAGGGUCAAAUCAAGUGGGUAAUUAGGGGUUAAUUGAGGGCCCUAGAAUACCAUCGAUUUUAGUGGUUUUCAGAACGGAUGAUUUUGUUUUAGUUAAUUUCUUAUUUUCUUCUUUGAUUAUUAUGUAGUUAAGAUUUUAUUACGUUUGUUUCUUUAAUUUUGUCGACUCAUUUAAUAAAUCAUUUCAAAAAAUAAAUAAAUAUAAAAGAUAACAUUACUCUAAUAUUUUUUUUAAAUAAUUUAGUAAUUAAGUUAGAAAUACGACUAAUAAAUAAUAGUAAUUAUAAUUAAAACAAAUCUUUGAGACGACAAGUUCACCAUGAUUAAUCGUGGGAGCUGGAAUGCUAAUGAUUGUACUUGUAUCCUUUUUUUUAAUUAAGGUUUACAUAUAUUUAUCAAGACCUAUAUAUAUUUUAUUAUGGAUUUUGUUAUUUUUUUAAUCUUAUAAAUAAAAUCAAAGAUUCAUUCAUGAAAAUUCUGUCUCUUGGCUAAAGAGUGAGUCUAAUCCUGAUCUGUUGUACUAGAAGAUUGAAGACUUUGUCUUUUGGCAAAAGCUGCAAUGAUAAACAUUGCAUUAAGGGAACAUAUUAUAUUUUUAAAUAAAAUAUUCAACCACCAUAAUCUGUAGUUAUUUGCUUACAUGUUCGAGAAUGGCGGUCCAAUCUUACAUUACUGCCUCCCUUGGUUUGGUAAUGUUCUCCACAACUGAAAACUAAUAAUUAUGAUUAAAUUUAAAAUUUUAUUUUAAUCAAACCAUUCUUUGAAUUAUCAUUGCUACAUAUACAUGGUUAAGAUUAUGGCAUAUACCUCAUAUAUUUAUUUUAAAAUAUAUUUUAACACCAUAUAUCACACAUAAAUUAUGUUUUAAUUUUUCUUAUAAUCGUAUUUGUUUUAUUAUUUAAAACUAAUCAUGUCCAGACCAAAUAAUCUAAAUUUAAACUCUAAAAAAAUAAAUUAAAAUCCUAAUUAAAAAAAUUCAAAUAUAAUUAAGAUUAUGAUAUAUAUCUUAUUUAUUUAAAAUAUAUUUCAAAGGACACAUAUAAUGUGUUUUUUUUUGUUAAUCACAGUUAUUUUUAUCCAUUUUACAAUGUGGAAUUAUUUUUAUUCCAAUGAAAAAAUAUUCAAAUAAAAUUUUUAAUAAUUAUAACUCUAAAAUUCAAUUUCAUCCAAAAUUCACUCUACUCCUCCCAAUGUACUACCAUAUUUGUUUACUUUGUAAAAACUUGACUUGGCCCAAAUUAAAAUAAAUAAAUAAUUUUUUUUCAAAAUUUAAUUAUAAAACAUCUAAGUAUUAAGAUAAAAUAAUUGUUUAUGAAAUGUAAUAAAAAAAAAACUUUUAAUAAACCAAAUAAAAUAUGUAAUCAAUGAUGAGGUGGUGGUGUAUGAUCCACCUAUUAUAAUUAUUGAUAUUGAUAGGUGGCUCUGCCGGUGUGCGACAGCUAUAUACCCUAAUGCCUAUGGCAUCAUGUCUUUGACCAUCCUAUUGUACGAAAAGAAAAUGAAACCCUAAAUAAAAUGUCAAUUAUUCAUCUAAUUUUACUUUACCCCUUAGAGAAAAUCUUUGCAUGCGGGUGAUCCGAUCGCACGCAAAUUUAUACGGAUUUGGAGAGAGAAACAAAGUAACAAAUGCCUAUUCUUUUUAUGUCAAGUGCUGGUGAUUCCUCUUAUUAUCAACAAAAAGAAAAAGUUAAAUUUAAAAUAUAUAUAUAAAAGUAAUUUAAAUUUUUUUAUUAUGUACGUAAAUAAUUUAAAAUGAAUGAUAAAUGUGGAUAGAGUAAAAAAGAUUGAUGUGUUAAUCAAUUGAUUUAGCGUCACCUGUAUAAAUAUCACCUCUAAUAUCAAUAUUUUCGUUUAUUUCAUAGGACAUAAAAUAAAUUUUGUGGAAGAACUAAUCUAUUUGGUGUGACCAAUGAUAGAAUAGCGGUGGACUAACGGCAACAUGGUGGUCAUGUCAUUCUCUAUGGCAUUACUGAAUAAAAAAAUAAUUUGAGUUAAAAAAAAUUAAAAUCACUUUAAAAAAGUCUGACACAAUAAAAGUGGUGACACCAAAUUAUUUGGCUCUACCAUUAUUCUACCAUUGGUUACUCCAAAUAGAUUGACUCCUCCACAAAAUUUAAUUUAUGCCCCACAAAAUACACAAAAAUAUUAGUCUUGGAGGUGAUAUUUAUAAGGGUAACGUUAAAUACAUUGACUACUCCCAAAAAAUUAAUUUUUUAAUUUUAGCAGCCAAUGAUUGGUUGACGUGGUAAGUGACUUCCGUCAAUCUCUUUGGCUUCACUCACUUUCAUUAUUCAUUUCAGGUUAUUUAUAUACAUAAAAAAAUAUCAUUUUUAUAAUUAAUAAAAAUUUUGAAUUAUUUUUAUAAAAAACCAAAAAAAAUACUUAUAUUUUAUCCAUACAUUUAUAUAGAUAAGAUAAAUGUAUAUUGAAAUUAAACAACCAAAACUUAUUUUCAAAAGAAAAAGGAAAACCUAGUCGAAAGUUGUUUGGAGCAGCACGUAACCAAAGGGACAAGCAGCGACCUUGACCCCUUGACUUAAUGGUGUAAUUAUAAUUUUAGUGCCUUUAAUUCCUUUGAACUUUUAUUUAAUUGGAACAACUACAAUUUUAGCCUCUCUCUUUUUUAAUAAUUUAAAAUUUAAUUUAAGUCAUUUUAAUAUUUACAAAUUCUUUUUAGCUUAGCCCCUCUCCAAAUUCUUGUAAAAUGAAGCAAUUUAAAGAUGCCUAAAUCAUGCAUGUAACGAGGCGUUCUAAUAGAUGAUAUCGAAUCUUGUGAAUUAUAUCAUAUUGACAAUGAUAUAUUUGACUAAGAUUUCUAUGGAAACACUUUUAAUGAUUUUAACUUCCAUAUUAAAUGUGCAUCAACACUUUUUAGGAAGUGAUAAUUAUUUAAAAAUAAAUAAAUUAAACUGUUUAGUCACGUUAGGAUCGUAUUUCACUACAAGAUAAAAGAAUUUUUCUUAUAAAUAUCCCCUCCAAUAAUAGAGAAAGGAUCGAAACUUGUUUUUUUUCCUUUUGAGCACUUACUUUUCUCAAUAUUUAAUUGGCCUCGGCCCUCAUGUCUCUUCUAACUCUUCAUUUCUUUAAGUGAAUCGAACUCUUUUAAAUUACUACAACUUUCCUUUUUUAUCUCUUCCUUAUUAUAUAUUUGUAUCAACAAUUUUAUUGUAUUAAAUUUGUUAUUUGAAUGAAGACAAAUCUGCCUAAAGAAAAAGUUGAUUCCAUGACUAAUGUAAUUGGAACUUAACCUUGGGACACAAAUAUAAUCCAAUUUUUGAACGAAUCUAAUCACAUAUGAAAAGUGAUUUACUGUGCAUUGUAAUACUUGAUUAAAUAUAGUAUUAUUCAAGUAACUUUAGAUGCUUUUUAUGCAUAAUAAUUCAUAGAUAUCUUGGAGAAAAUUCAAUCAUCUUUUCUUAUUUUUUUGAUUAUCAAAGUAUCCAGAAAAAUGGGUCCAUACCGCUAGCUUAGGUCAAAAAGAACAAAUGCCAAUAGCAUGUGUAUCUACAUCAUGCAACUUUUAAUUCGGAAGAAAUAUAUCAAAACAAAUUAAAAUUUAUAUUAUAUUUAGAGGUAUUUUAUACUAUAAAUAUGAAUAUAAAUAUUAUUUAUUUACUUUAUUUUAUAUGCGUGUGGUAUCAUGAUUUUUAAUCUUUAUUUUUCGAUACAAUGUCUAGAAUUAAAAUAAUUAAAAUAAAAGAAUAUUGCGUUUCAGGUACUCAUACUUACGUCCUCCCGGAUUAAUAUUAUUUUGAAAAAGUUGAAAGGUGAAAAGUAGAGUGAGAAGUUGUUGAUCAUCAACUUUUUGAUGAAAAGGGUAACAACCGCUAGUUGAUAAUUUGAAUCACAAUUUUAGCUGCCAAUCCAGUAAGCUGACAACGAAUAAAGAAAACCAUGUAAAGUGAAAGCAAUUAGACAUCGAGUAACUAUAACUUUAUGAAAAUUGAGAAAGUGAUCUAAUUAUAGGUCAAUAUAUGAAUUUGAACCGUUAUUUUUUCUAACUUAUUAUAUAUAAAUGAUUGAUCGAUUGAUUUUUAGUAAUUCCUUAGUUAUAAGUUAUUAAACUGCUAAUUUACAAGAUAACGAUAUAAUAAUAAAUUUUAAUAGUGUUACUUAAUUAAAAUAACUUUUUAAUUUUCAUAAUGUAAGAGAGCCAAAAUUUGACGGAAAAAAUUUCAACUUUCAUAAAGUAAAAAAGAUAAAAUUUGGAAUUAAAACUCUUAUAAGAUUCAAAUAUUCACCAAAUUCUAAUACUACUUUUGGAAUUGGGUAAUAGUAACUAAAGGAUUAAAGGAACUUGAUCUUUCGAGAAUUCAAGUUCGAAACUUUUUAAUGAUAGGGAUUAUAAUGUUGAGAGGGACAAUCCGAAACUUUAUAAAGAUUAAUUUUCAUAAAUUUUAAAAUAAACAUAGAAAUACUUUAUUUAAAAAAAAUUACAAAUAUUUAGCCCUAUGUAUCCCUAAACAAAAGCCUCUGUCUCUUUUAGUUAGGAUUAAGCAAGAAAAUCGAAAAAUGACCUGAGGAGUUUGGAUGGAUUAUAGAAUUUAAAUUUAAAAUCCAAGUUUACUGAGAUCGAGCUGAAUUCUAUAUUUUAUUUAAUAUAUAAUUAAUUUUAAAAUUUAUGAUGUAAUAAAAAUUAAAUAUUUCAUAUUUAAAAUAAUGAAAAUAAUUUAAAAGUUUUAGAAAAAUUAGCAAAUAAUAUUAAAAAUUAUAAAGCAAAAAUUUAUUUUUAUCAAAAUAAAUCAAAAAAUUCAAAACCAAAAAUUAAUAUGAAAAAUAUGAGAACUUAACCGGGACAAACUGAAUUAUAAUAGAUAAUUAAAAGAACUCAACCGAACCCUACUUUUGAUUAAUCAAAGGUGUUGUUGAAGAACUUAAUUCAAUAUUUAGAAAAAGAAAUCACAAAAAAUAAAAAAUAUGACUUGGCAGUGGGGAUAUUGGUGUAAGUGUGUAAAUGUGAAAGGAACAGCCUGAUUUUGUAUUAUUUAUACUCCAAGAUUGCUGCAUAUUUGUUCAACCUUAUUCCAUUUUCGCAAGCUUUUAUUUAUUUUUGGGUCCACACUACAACCCAUGUGAUUGCCUACACAAUGUUUGACUGCUCUCCUUCUUUUCUUCUACACCUCCAUAAAAAAAUAAAAAUUCCGGUCCCUUUUUGUAACAUUCUUUUUCUCCUUGACUUCAUUUUUUUAAUUACAAAUUAUUAUAGUGUUAUAUUUUCUUUUGGUUGUCCCGAUAUGAGCGGGUGUAUCAAUUUCUGGUACUUACUCCAUGGGGUGUUUAAAAUUAUGAUACUCCACCCCCAUCCCAACUUUACCUUUUUUUACCCAUAUUAAGAUUCACAAAAUCUAGUUUCCCUUUUUCUUUUUUACUUCUUAUAUGUGUUUUAUUAUAAAAUUUUGGUUUUAUUCACAAUUUAACCCUUAAACUAUACUAUUUUUCUCACUCUAAUACCUAAACUUUUUUGACCCGUUUUGAUACUUAAACUUUACUUCCUUUCACUAGUUUAGCCCUUUAACGUCGUUAAAAUCUAAAUUGAUCAUUAACUUGGUCUAAUUAAAACGUGCCAUAAGUAAUUUUUUCAUGUAAGCAAUCUAAGUGGAAUUGUUCAUUAAAUUAAUGAGAAUUCGAAAAAAUUAAUUAAAAAAAUUGAAACAAAAAAGAAACAAGAAAUCGAUAUUUCUUUGUUCAUCUUCUAUCAAUAUUAAUAGACUUCUUUUUCCGUUGCUAAUUAUUUUAUAUUGAGUGUAUCUACUGUCUGUUCAAAUUCAUGAAUCUUAUUCUUCUUCUUUCAUUUAUAUGUUAUUGUUUCUUUUUUAUAUGAUUUUUUUUAUCGAAAUUAGGGUAUUCAACACCAAUAGUAAUGAUUAAUUACAUGGUUGUGAGUACUCAAUAAAGAAGUAAAUGGUUGGCCAUGAAAUGUAUUUUUUUUCUACGGGUGAGGAUUAAACCCCAAACCUCAUGAUUUAAGGGAUGAUGUGGUCAACCACCACACCACACAUUGUAUGAUUUGCUACUUUGUUUUAUUGUUUCAAAUGAGAUUGUUUAAUUUAUAUUACUUGAUUUUAAAUUUAAUUGAAUAACUAAAUUUGAGCUAAAACUUUACUAGAAUAGUAGCCAAAGUGUCAAUUGACAAUUUUUCCUAGUUUUGGUCCAUGUUGUACCACAUCAUCACUUUAAAAAAAUUAUAUUUUUUAAUAAAAAAUUUAUGUGGUGACAUGACACAAUCUUAGGGUGAUAUGUCUUCACAAGAGACUAAGAUUGAGGACUAAUAUGGAUAAAAAAUAAAUUUAGGAUCAAGUUGGAAAAAUUAUCAAAUUUAGUGACUAAAUGUUACAUUAUCUUAAAAAAACAUAAAAAUAGGAAAACACUUCUUUUUCAUAACGAAAAAUCCUUAGUUGCUCAACUUUAAAAAAAAAUAAAAAUUGUUUGAGUUAGGAUUUGUAUCUAGACUCUGUGUUUGACUUUGUAUGACCCGAACCUCUCUUCGUGGGCCCAUUUGGUUGUGAUUUAGGACAUUUUCAUUUGCAUAAUGUGAACUUUAUAGCUAAUCCUCGUAUAUACUUAUAAUUUCUAUGAAAUGUGUUGGGAUUGUCUGAGUUGCUCCAACAAUGUAAUGUGACGUCAUGCAUUUGGAUUCCGUGAUUGGGUCAAGUGAGGAGCGUUACAUUUAUAUAAAAAAAUUCAGUAAUUAGAUACAUGUUAAUAAAGUCUCUAAAUCUCUUUGUACAUUUAAAUUUUAGUCUCUUAUUUCUAUUUCUAGAAAUUUAGUCCCUUAUUUAAAAAAAAAAGUCUUCCAUUUUUUAGAUUUGAAAAUGCAAAUCUAAUUGUUAAAAGUGCCAUAAUUCUUUUGUUAUAUUCAAAUCCAUUAUAACGAUUUUUUUUUUGCUAUAUGGUUACCAAGUAUUUUUUUUCUAAAAUGUCACAUGAUAAACUUUGCAAAAGAAUUUUAAAAACGUUAACAAUUGUAUUUGAAAUUUUAAAUCUAAAAAGUAAAAAGAUAAAUUUUUAGAAAUAAAAGUAAAAAUACAAAAUUCUAAAUCUACGAAAAGUAUAAAGAUUUGGAGCAUACUUUAAACUAUUUUGGGUGCAAUACCAUACAUCUAUUCAAAAUUUUAUAAAAUUAUAUUUAAAAAUUAAACAAUUAAAUUAUUAAAAUAUUAACUAUAUAAAUUACAAAAAUAUGUAAAAACUCAUUUAAUUUUACAAACAAAUCCUUCUCCCAUGUAAAUAGCAUCCACAUAAAAAUCUGAUGGAAUCAAUUGUCAUCUCAUUUUUUCAUUGAUAUGAAUGGGUACAAAUUUGAUGGACCCUAAACAUUUUGGGUGGUGAAAUUGAACCGUCAAAAAGGUGUGGUGAGCGGGGGCAAAAGAACAUACGACGUAAGCCCUUUUGCUACAGCCUUUGGGUACAAUAUCGAGGGACCCUAAAACUUUUGGUGAAUGGGAGCAAAAGAACAUGCGACAUAACCUCAUUAUCAUUCAAUAAUUGGUACUACAAUGAAAGACAAUUUUUUAAGAGUAACUGUGUAUUUAAAUAAGUUUUUAAAUUAAAUUGGUUUUAUUUUUAAUUAUUUUUAAGAUUAAUUGUGGAUUUCAAUUAUCAUCUGUCAUGCAUGUAAAUUAAUUAAUGGUACAAUGAUAAUUGAGUAUAUUUUAGUGCCAUGAGCUCCAUUAAUGGUUAUUCAUCAUUUUUAUUUUAAUUAUUAGGGUUAUAUUAUAUGAUUUUUGUUGAGUUUUCUUUUUUGCGUAUUCUUUUAGAUGGGUUAAUUUUACGUAUUUAUAUGAUACCGUUACUGUUUAUAGAUAUGACAUAUUAAGUAAGUUUUCAUGUAUGAUAGCACAUCCCCUACUUUAAGGUUAACAUGUGUUUACUUAAAAUGGAUUUGCAUACACAAGGUUCGCACCAUGUGUAGGCGAACCAAUAUUUCAUGUUUUUAUUUAAUGCUCGCCCAUAUGGAGCGCGGGUCAAGACACGUCCUCAGUGGAUUGGUAAUAAUUAGUAUAAUAACAAUUUUAAUUAUUACAAAUUUUAGAAUAUUUAUUCAAAUUAUUUUAGGGUGUUUUACUUUUUAGAGCAUUGCCCUAUAAAUAUUUGGCUUGGGCAACUAACUAAUAAAUUUUUGUUUGGCUUCAAUUCAAUUGUGAUUCAAGAUCGUGGUGUUGUUCUUCAAACUUCAAUUUGCAUUCUAAUUUGAUUGAUUGAUUUUCAGAAUCCUUCCAUCGAGAUUCGGCCAACAUACUUCAUUCAAUACCCUUAGUCGAAUUUAUCAUUUCACUCCUCCAUUUUUUAUUGUAGUUUCUUUUUCUCCUAGUUAAACAUAGACUAUUUCUGAAGAAGAUGAGCACCCGAUUAAUAAGCCAUAAUUUGAAAUUAAGUUGCAACUAAAGAUACAAUUGAAAGAGGAAAAUGGUAAUGAUGCACAUGACGAUUGGUUACACAGUCCGAAACCUUUUUAUACAUACGUUAACAAAAAUUAAUUCAUUAUGAACUAAUAAUGUAAGUCAUGAUUUAAAUCGAAUUCAAUCACCAGCUACAGCCUCACUUCUAUACUUAAAUAAUUUGUUUGCACAAAGUAUUAGUCCUAAAACUAAAUACACUACUAAAUUACGCAACAAUUGAUUUUUAACAAUACAUAAAAUAAAAAGAGAUUUCCUGCACUUAAACUUUUAAAAAAUCAUCUAUCGGAUAUGAUAUUUAUUGAAAAGGUAUUAAUUCAAAAACCUCAAUUAAUUAAAAUCAAUUACAAUCUCAUCUAUUACUACUCAAACCUUAAUAGAGAUGUAAGAGAUCCAACAAGAUUUUCCCCAACCCGCAAUGUGAACAUUUACUUUCCUUAAUUAACUCGAGCAAACUUGGGAGGACAGACAAACAACCUAGGACAAAGAAAUGGACAGACAUUAAGCAACCUAAGACAAAGAAAAUGACAGACAUUAAUCCACCUAAAUAAUAAUGAUGAUGUGUUGGAGUUAUCCUAGAGACAAGAGAGCAAAUAAUACAACUGUUUAUCCUCAAUUACAAAGGUGGCAACAAAGAAUAGACCAAAUUCCUAAUAAAUGGUUGAUUAACAGCCUGUAUUUGUACACUUUUUCGAUCACCCAUCUACUCUUAUGAUUUUAAUAAAAUGUGGUUGUCAACAAAGUUUAGUAAAAAAAUUAUAUUAUCUAAAAAUAUAAUGAUAAUUUAUGAAUUUAUUUUUAUUGAAUAAAAUAUAAUAUUCAUGUAUUUAAUUUUUAUAAUAAAUUUUAUUCUUAAUAAAUAUUUGAAUUAAAUAUUUAAUAAUAAAAUUUAAUUGAUAAUUCUUAAAUUAUUUUUAAUUUAUAAUUCUAAUUGAAAGUAAAAUAAUUUCAAAUUUAUUUUAGAGCAAAUUAAAAAAAAAAAAGUACUUGAAAUCCCAUUUUGUUUUAACUAAAGGAUACUAAUAGGAUUAUAAACAAAGUAAUUGAUUCUAGGUAUUGUUGUGAACAAAAUAAUUAAAUUGUAGGAAUGUAAAACCAUAGGCGACCUAUACAAUUUAAUUGGAACAACUCUACACAUGUUUUACAAAAAAUAAUACGUAUUUCAUACAAAUACUUUAAUCUUCUUAUUGAUUUAGUGUUACAAAUUAAUUGGACAUCAAUUCAGUUUGAAAAAUAUGAAAAAUUCUUCUUUAUUUAAAAUAAGUUAUAUUAUUACAAUGAUAUUUUUAUGUUUUUCUAUUUUUCAGAAAACCAAUAAAAAUUUGCUAAUCAAUCCAUACCACCAACAUCAACAAAAUAUCAACUAACUUCACCACUUCAACUAGAAUUUUAUUUUGGAUUUUUUUAUACAUCUCAAUAUUAUUACACAAACUUUUUUCACUCACAUAUAUUGAUUGUCAUUAAUUGAGUUGCUUUCAUAAAUCAACUCGACACCAACUCAAAAUUGAUGAGAGUUUUUUUUUAAAUGCAAGUUACUACUCUAUAUAAGAUUCAAUUAUUAAAUAAAAUAUUGGGUAAACUGCAAAAAUAGUCACUUUUGUUUGCUUCAAAUUACAUUUUAGUCACUUAUGUUUGAAAUGUUACGUUUUAGUUACUUACGUUAUCGUUUUGUUUCGAAGUGGUCACUCUACCGUUAACCUCCCUAACGACGAUCCUAUAUGGCAGUCCAAAUGGGUUUUAAAUGCCGACUUAGAUGUCCUAUGUGGCAGUCCAAAUUAAAUUUAAUUAAUUAAAAACAUAUUUUUAUCCCAAUAACUGAACAUCUAAGUUGGCAUUUAAAACCCAUUUGGACUGCCACGUAGUACUGCCAUUAGGGAGUAACGAAGUUUAAUGGUAGAAUGACCACUUCGUAACAAAACGAUAAUAUAAGUGACUAAAACGUAACAUUUCAAACAUAAGUAAUUAAAAUGUAACCUGAGUCAAACAAAAGUAACUAUUUAUAUAGUUUAUCCUAAAAUCUUUUAUACCCAUAUUGAUGUUGAAUUAUUCUUUCACCAACAUAAUGACAUUUUGAUAAUAUGUUAAAUAAUGCUAUCUAACAUAAUACCAUUUUAACACGCUAUAGAAAAAUGGCAAUACAAGCCAAAAAGCAAUUGGAGUACAUUUACUAUUCUUAAUCACAUAUAUUUACCUAUUUUACUUUAUUUUUACUCACAAUUUUAAUUAAAUUUUAAUUUAAAUUUCUUACAUAUUGCACAUAUGCUAUUAUUAGUUUCAAACCACAUGUUUCAUUAUUUGUUAUUUUUAAACUCAUUCAUAUGUUCUAAAUGUGUGAUAUUCACUCGCAUAUACAUCUGAUGCAAUUGCUAGUAUAAAUUAAAACAUUUUUAUUAAAAUGUAUAAAAAAUAAUAUAGGAUAUUUUUUUUAUGUGUGUGAGAGGGUAUAACAAAUUUUCAAUUAUUGCACCUUUAUUCUAUUACAAUUAAUGACUCCAUUAAAAAUUACAUCAGAUGUUGACGUGUCAACUCACUUGAUGAUCUAUGUAUUUUAUUACUAUUACAAUAUUAUUUUAUUUUAUAUAUCAAGUCUGUAAAUAAUUUAAAAUUAAAAAAAUAAAUUAUAAAUAAAAAAUAAGUUAAUAUAUUUUAAUAUUCUUGCACAAUUAAGUUAAUAUUUAAGUUGUUGUUUUUAACUUUGAAGAGUUUUUAAAUUUGUUUUCAUAAUAUUUUUUGAAUUUUUGUAAUUUUUUUAAAAAUGUUUUUAAAAUUAUUUUGCAUUUCUAUUUUUUUAAAAAUUAAUAUCUUUUUUUUUUGGAAAUUUGACAAACUUCUAUAAUCUUUUACAUUUUUUGUUAUUUUAAUUUGAAGGAGAUUUUCUCAUAAUUUUUGAAAAAUUUUAUUUACAGUUUUUUGAACUUUUCUAAUUUUUUUUUUUUGAAUAUUUGUUUAUAAACUUUAAAUUAUGUUUUAACUUGACAUAUAGAGCAACAUAAUAUCAUGUCACAAGGUUGUGGUCUAAUUUAUUCCAAAUAAAAGAGAGAGGCUGAGUUGAAUAAAAGUGUAAAAAGCAAAAGCUAAAUUUAAUAUAUCAUGGCUUAUAUAUAAAAGGCCGAAAAAAGCCCAUAAUGACACGAUCAAUCUUGUGACUCAGAUUCUGGGUUUGUCGAGCAUUGAUUCUGGUUACCUACCACACCAAUCAUAUUGACAUUCGAAACAACUACAAGUACUAUCAGAUAUACCUUACCAUUUAUGAAGGAAUACAUAUUUAAUACCAUUUUUGAAUUACCCCUUGAAUUGGUACAAGGUUUCUGUGCUUUGAGCUGUUUUUUAUAUUUCCACACGGAGGACAGUAAAGCCAAGACAACAUGCAUGAUGCCUUUUUUUUUUUUUUUCUACUUCAAAUGCAAUAUCACUUCUAUCGUACACUCCACAUUCCUACGAACAAAAUAUGUCUAAUUAGCUUCAUCUUACUCACCGUCUUGUUAUGCUGAAAAGACAACCUUCACUCAUCUUCUACUCUCAAGUGUUACUUUGACCCUUUAUUCUUCUUCUUCUUCUUUUUUAAGUAUCUGUGUCUGAAUUUUGCAUUGGUACAAAGAUAACUUUUAAAAAACUCAUGCAUGGAAAAGUUAAAAUUAAUUUUGGACAUAUUUAAUUACACAGACACUCAUAUCCAACCUUUUCAUUAUCCAGAAAUGAAACUGACAUUAUCUUGACUCAUCAUCAGCAAGAGAAGUCACGAUCAACUGGGACUUUGCUUGUCGAUCGAGAUAAAUUAAUAUGAUUUUACUGCUUAAAUAAAUCACCAUGUCAAAAUUGACAACUCUGCAUAGCAAUGCAAAGACUGUCUUCAAGGUGUGGGAAGAGAUAUUCGAACACUUGAAACUACACUAUGGUUCGUCUGACAAAACCUAACAACAACAUCACACCGUGUGAAUCAAGUAAGCAAAUAUAGCAACAUGUCUCAAAACUAACAAUCACUUAGUUGAAUUCGAAAUAGUUAUAAGCACUCCCCAAAAAUAAUAGUUUCAAGAAAAGAGACAAAUAACAUACUAACAAAAAUAACUCCCCCCUCAACAGAGCAUUUGCCGCAUACAUUACUCUCCCUUUUUGUAGCCUCAGGGUUUUAGCUGUCAUUGUAAUAUCCAGAUUCUCUGCGUUCUUUUGCAUGCUAAACACCAGAUUCAACAAUAGACAUCACAUAUGUUUCAACAUAUCAAAAUUUUGAGUCCUAUCAAAAUACCAUGCAUUAACUCAGUCCAACAAAGAAGAACAAAAAUUGUUCUUACAACUCUUCAAUAAAGACAGAUGUGCCAACAUCAGCUUUCACAUUAAAAGCUAUAAUUAACCUAGCAACUCAUUGACACACAUAGUACUUACGUCCUUCGCCUCUUUAAUGGUUGUCACCUUAUUUGCAAACAUCUCGAGCAAGAGAUGUAAUAUCUUUCAAACUAGUUUCACCUCAAAAUAUUACUUGCCAAGAGUUCAAGCCUCACUAGUUAUGUCACAAAAUUUAGCAUAAAGUUCAAAGAUGGGCUCAUUAUUAUCAGAAAUUCGUAAAGAUUCAAGGUAAGCUUUUAAGGUUUUGGAAGGCUGACUUUGAGAGUUACUUCAUGGAUGGUUUCAAGGAUAUUUCAAGCUUCACGAGAUGAGAUACACUUUGAAAUCUUUAUGUAUUCUUGUUGAUCCACCCCCUUUGAAAAUAACACACAGUGCUUUUGAAUUGAAAUCCGCUACUUUACCAUUUUUGGAGCAAUGAUGUUUAAACCGGACCGGCCGGUCGGCUAACCGGUCCGAACACUAGCAAAAAAUCGAUCGAACAAGGAAUUGGAAAAUCCGGCGUUUGAACCUUCAACCGAAAAAUGGGUAAAAAUCGGUCGGACCGGUUUUUCAAAAAAAAGAAGCUUCUUCAGUCUGGGCAAGCCUAAAAAAAAAAAAACCUAACUCGACAUCCACCCCCAUCCAGGCAACCACCACUCUCGUCACUCGUCCAUCCGGCCUCUCUUCACUCUCCAGUCUCCAAUCUCCCUUCAUGGCUUCACCAUCCGGCUUUCAGCCUCAGGUCUGCUUCCGUGUUCAGCCGCCUUCCAUCUACUUCUUCCGCCGCCAUCCUUGCUGAAAAAUGAGAAAGUCAGAAAGAUGGCUUUGACCUUUGGCGGCAGAGGACAAAUGAUAAAUUGAAAAGAGUCAAUGAUAGAUAUUUUCAGGUUUUCUUAUUUUAUUUUGGUUAUGGCCUAUGGGCCUAAAAUAGAUGGGCUGAUUUAGUAUUUUUAAUAAUAAUUAUUUUAUAUUAUAAAACACUAAAAUGGUCAGAUCAGUUAUCAGACCAAUUUAACCAGAUAUGAUUAGUUUAACAAUACUUUUAAAAAGUAUUUUUGAGAAGUGGUAUUGAAAAUUUUAGUUUAAAAUUUGAGUAUUUAGUAUUGUUGUCAAAAAGUAUUUUUAAAAAAAUAAAAUGUUCAUUUUUAGACAUAUUAUUAUCAAGUAAAAAAUAUGCAUUUAAAUAAUAUUUAAAUUAGUUAAUAUUAUUAUAUUUUAGUAACAAUAUAAAAAAUUAUUAUAACUUGUUAAUAUUUUAAUAUAUAAAAUAUAAAUUUUAAAUAUUUUUAAUCUAUAAAUAUUAAUUAUUUAUAAAAUUUAAUUAGAAUAUAUAAACUAUAUUUUAAAUAUUUGUAAUUAGUAUUUUAAAAAAUAUUUUUUUAUUUUUAAUUAAUGGUUUUAACACAUUUGUAAUUAAUCACCAAGAAAAAAAAGUACUAUAUUAUUAGAGGAGUGAAAAAAUAAUCAAGCAGCAAAAGUAUUUUUUGGAAAUAAAAAGCUAAAAAUUUUAACUUCUUAUUUUUAAAAGUGCUUUUAAAAAAGUUAAAAAUUUAUGUCAAAAGCAACUUAUUUAGCACAAUUUUUCUUCCAAAAGUGAUUUUUUUUAAACACUACUAAACAAGCUCUUAGUCUAAGGAGGCUUCAUUGGGUUAAAAUUAAUGUCCAUGUUCUCCCAUCAAUAGAUGGAUGAAACCCCUCAUCUAAGCUUUCAAAGGAAUACGACGAGAUUCAUCCAAGAGUGAUGAACAUAUAGUUGAAUAGCCUUCCUUCAUACCUACCUACAUGACUACUGGAUAUAAGAUCUCACCAAAUACUUUGUGUGGCUCUGGAUAAUUUAAAACCCAUCGUCAAGUAUGACAAGUGAAGUAGAGACACCUUUUGUCACACAAACAAAUAAUUGUAAAAUAAUAGGAAAAUUAAACAUAAGAAGUUAUUAACACAAUUUGGACAUAAUCUGCAUUUACGGUACCAUGCCUAAUAAAGCAAUGAUUUAAGCGUAAUAAAAACAAUCUUCGUACAGUCAUGUGCAUAAUAGAACUUUCAAGAUGGACAAAAGUAUUAUCAUAUUUACUUGUUGAUCAUCACAGAAGAAUUAUGAACAAUAUAGACUUCAAUUAUCAUUAAAGUAGUCUUCAACUAUCUUCAGUCGAAUUGCUCACUUUGAUCAGCUAUGAUAUAUUUUUUAUAUGCUUAUCAUAAUCCAUAAGAGGUGAUUGGAUCAUUAAGCACUGUAGCGACGUAAAAAUUUUAACUUAGCUUGGUCGCUAAUUGUGGCGAUUUAUUGAAAAAAGUUUGAAAUUUGACGUUUGAUUUUUGAAAUAAACAGGGAGUCGCCACCGAUCCUUUUUCCUAGGUGUGAUCGGACACCUAUUAGAUCUCUUAUUAAAACAAAUAAAGGCUGAGUUUAGGUCUACGUUAAAAUUCAGAGAAAAUUAGGGUUCGGGAGUCGGUUACGUGCGAGAAAGGUAUUAGCACCCUCGCGACGCCCAAAAUUGGUAUCUUAUAAACAUGUGUUGUCUUAGUUUUUAAAAAUACGAGUUCAAUAUAAGAUUUAAUCGUGAUCCGAUUGAAAAGACGAUAACUUUCAAUUUUUGAUUUUCGAGAAGGACAUACCGUUUUAACACGAGUCGACUGAUAUUCACCCAACAUAGCGAUGAAAUCGGCGGUUUAAUGUUAAAUCGGUAUGUUGCCUUGUUUAUUAGAAUAAAUAAAAUAAGAAACGUGAAUAAAAUAUUUUUAAAAUAGUGAAUAGCGACAUGAUACGAAAUGGGCGAGCAACAGAAAAAUAAAGGUUAGAAAUACAUCAAGGUAUAUAAAUAACACGACAAUUAAGAAUAAUGACAAUGCAUGCAAUAUAUUAAACAUAAUAAUAGUAUCAAACACGAAAUAAAAACUAUGAAUGUAUAUUCAUAACAAUAAUAUUAAGAACUCGUACGUAAAAUAAUAUAUAUAUACACGAAUAAAAUAGUGUUAGAAGUAUAUACUAUAAUAAAAAUAUAACUUGCAAUGUUAAAAUAUAUACAUAAUAUAUACAUGAAUAAAAUGGACAUUGAAAAAUGUAUAUACGCGGCAUACGUGAGAAAUAUAAACAUAAUAUUAUUAAGAUAAGUGAUAAUAGUGAAAAUCAAAGGUAUAGUAAUAAAUAUAAUGAUAUACGAAAAUAAUACUAUAUGUAAAAUGUGUAAAUAUAUAUACAAUAUGAUAAAAAAUAAACAUAUACAUAUAAUAGAAUUUAAAAUAUAUAUAUACAUGGGGUAAUAUGGAAAUAUGUACAUAGAGUAGUAUAUACAAAAUAUAACUAAUAAUAUUGAAAACACAUGUUCAUAAUAUAUAAAACAUACAUAUAAUAUAAUAUUAAAACAUUUACAUAAUAUGUACACACAUAAUUACGAUGUUAAAGGUGUAUUAACGUUAAUAAUAAUACUAAUAUUACAUGAAGAUAUACUUAUAUAAACAUAUAUUAAAGAUAUAUACAUAUAUAAUAAAAUACAUGAAUAAUACGAUAUUUAAUAUAUACGUAAUAUGUAUAAUAAUAAUAAUAAUAUACAUAAUAUAUACAAAAUACACAUAAUAUAUAUGUAUAUAACAAAACACAUAAUAGUGAUGGUAUUAAAAUACAAAAAAGAACAAUAUAACAUAACAAAAAUACUAUACAUAUAAAUCUAUGUACGUAAAAAAAUAUACUAUUAUAAUAAUAAUUAUAAUAAUAUUAUUUAAAUACCAAAAACAAAUAUAAUAAAGAUAUUGAAAUAAAAUAAUAAAAAUAAGCCGAUACGUAAAAAUAUAUACAUAUACAUAUAUACUAAAACAUGUAUAUAUAAUAAUAAUGUAAAAAUAACAAGAAUAUUUGAUAAAGAAAUGAAAAUAAACGAAGAAAGGAUUAAAAUUAAACUAAAAACAAAGUUGUGGGGCCGAUUUAAAAAGAAAACGAAGAGAAAGGGCCUAUUUGAACACGCGAGAAAACAGUGGGGAUCAAAAAUGCAAUAUUCCCUGUUGUCCAAAACGCAGUGUAGCACGGGGGGACGAAAUUGAAAACUAUGAAGAAUUCUGGGGCCAAAUUAAAAUAUAAAAACUUAAUUGUAAAUGCAUGAAAAAGCAGAGGGGCCGAUUGUACAAAUAGCCCCUCCAUUAAAAAAACACGCGGAUCUUAGUCGGAGCAAGUGAGGUCGACCCAACCCAGGGCAAAACGACGUCGUUUUAUGCCCUGAGUUUGAAGGCCAAAACGGUGCUAUUUUUAGAGGCUAUAAAUAGCCUAAAAAUCAAAAAAAAAAUCAUUUGGGAGCUGGGAAAGGAAAAAAAAAGAGAGGGGAGAGGGCUGAGCGAUUUCCGGUGGGGAGAGGGGGCACCGGUCCGUCACCGGACCUUCGCCGGCGCUGUACGGUGGCCGGAAAGGUAAAAAAUCUAUUUUUUCUUAUUUUUUGUACUGUAUUUUAUGUUUAUAUUAAAUAAAAAAAAUAAAGAAAUGUGUAUAUAUAUAUGUAUGCAAAAAUCGAAAGAAAUAAAGAGAAAAAAAAUGCAACCUUUUCGUUUACUCCUUGUUUGUUUGAACAACCACUAUUGUCUGUUUAUUGAAGUCUAUAAAUUCCUUUUGAUCUUUACAAAGAAGAAAGGAAGAAAAAAAAAGGAACCCUCUUACCGUUUUUGAUUUGGGUUUUUAUAACCCUUUUUCACCUAUUUUUUUUAUUGCUUCUGUCUUGUCUGAUUGCAGGGAAUGGGCACGGACGGUGGGGUGUGUGAUGGCUCAGCACGCGCGGGGCAUGGUGGCCGACAUGGUGGAGAAGUGUCAGGCACGCAUAGGGCAACGGCGCCAAAAACCCUAGGGUUUCUGGCUUUCCAAAAUUUUUUAGAUUCUUGGGCCUAUCGGGCUUCACUGUUUUGGGUUGGUGUUGGGUUUUAAGUGUUUAGGUUAGUUUGGGUUUUGGUUGUAACUGGGUUUUGGAUAUUUAUAUUUAGGCCUGGGCAAUUUAAAUGGGUCAUUUGGUUUUGAUUGUAAACAGGCCAAAAUUAGCCUACAAUAAGCGCAUUUCUAACUCUUCCAUUAUCAAUAAAUUAAGUUUGACAUUAUCUUUAGAUUUAUCUAAUCAAAUGUUCAUCAUUAUAUACCAGAGAAACUUUGAUCAAUCAUGACUUUGCUUCUCCAGAUCUUGUCUUAUACAAUUAAAGUCUUCUUGCUUUUUACUAGCUUAAUUGACAUCUAAAUUUAUUUUUCUAUUUUUAAGUAAAUUUUUAUUUUAUAAACUUCUAUUAAUUUUUGUAUUUUGAUAUUUUUCUCUAACUUAUUUGUAGUUUUCUUAAUUUUUAAUAAUUUUUAAAAUUUUAUACUAUUUUAUAAUAUUAAUGAUGUUUCAAUAAAUUUUUUUCUAUAUUUUUAUAAAAAAAUUAUAAUAUUUUUCUAAAAACUUUUUUAACAUUUACAAAUUUUCUAUAACUUUUAUAGUUAUUUACAAGUUUCCAAUUUUUUUUAUGAAUUUUAAAUUUAAAAAUUAAUUUUUUUUUAAAUUUUAAUAUUUUUACUUAAAUAAUCAAUUAAGCCAUUAUAUAAUAAUAAUAAUAAUUAAUUAAUUAAUUAAUUAAUUAAGCCCUCCACGUCAUCAUUUAUCAACAUGAAUAGUUAAUGGCCAUCAGAGGCUUCAACAGAAACAAGAAUUCAAGGGGUCAAUUGGUCACCAAUCAUGAUUCAAAGGGUUUAAUUAGAUGCACAUUUUAAUAAGGGAUUAAUUAUUUUUUUAAAAUUAUUUUCCAAGGACUUAUUUAACAUUUUAACUAGAUAAAAAAAGUGAUUAGAAAGGAGGAAGAAAAACUUGAAUAAGCAAAUAUAACUAGAAAUAUUAUUUUUUAGAAAAAAUAAAUAAAUUAAAUGUCUUAAUAACAAUCUAAAAAAAAAAUUCCUUUAAAAAUGUGCCAACUAUAUAAUUUAUUAUUUUAAAACCCCUUAAAACUCAAAUGAUUAAUAGUAAUAAUAGAAGUGCAAAAUACCCAUAUUCAAUAUAGAGUUGAAAUUAGAAAGCAAAUAAAAAAAACCUAUUGUGCCCAAUUAAUCCCUAAUUCCUAUAUUAGGUAGAUUACACAUGAAUUUAAUUAAUUAUAAUUUAGUAUAGUUAUUUACAUAAAAUUUUAAUUAUAGUUCAAAUGUAGAUAUUAAAUUUUAAUUAUAAUUCAAUUAUAUAUAUUUAAAAAAUAAAUAUAAUUAUUUAUUUUAAUAUUUGAAUUAAUAAAAUUAUAUAUAUUGCAUUCAUAUCAUGUUGUCGUGUUAGGUCAAAAAAAGUAUGAAAUAGUGAGUUGGAAAAAGACGAUACAAAGAAGCACAUUAAAGAGGAGAUCGGAGAGCAUUAUGAUGAUGUGAAAUUGGCUUAAAGCCGACCCUAAAUUGAAACACCCCCUGCUUCUCCCCAUGUGACUAUUACUUUUAUUGUUUCCCUUCACGUGUUUAAUGUGUACCUCCAAUUUCAUAUACUAUAUAUGUAUCUUAUGUUAAAUCUGCAUGCUAUACAUUCAAGCCAUUCUCUUUUUUAUUUUAUUUUAUUUUAUUUUUAAAAGAAUGGUCCAAUUUUAGUUGCUGAAAUUUUAAAUUUUAUUUUUAACAUAAUUUGGUACUUUAACUUUUAUAAUAUUAUAGGUAGUCUAGAUACUUUAUUCGAAUUAAAAUGUUGACAUACACAUGUUCGACUAUAUAACCUUUUAAUUCUCUUUUCAAUUUAUUGAUGGUCAAAUUUUAAUUUUGGUCCUUAUAUUUUAUGCUCAAUUUUGAUAUUUGAUCACUAUGUUGUAAUAUUUGACAUAAUUUGAUACAUAAAUUUUUGUGAUGUCAUUAUUAGUCUAAAUACUUGAUUCUGAUUAAAAUGUUGAUGUAAAUGUGUCUAAAUACAUAGCCUUUUACCUUCUUUUUUUUUUGAGAUUAUAUAGCAAUGGUCAAUUUUCAAAUUUUGUCCCUGUAUUAUACUCAAAUUUGAAAUUUAAUUUUUAUACUUUAGUUUUUUUAUAUAAUUUGGUACUCCACCUUUUUUAAUAUCAUUACUUAGUCUAAAUACCUUUUUCUGAUUAAAAUGUUGACGUAAAUUUUUAAGAAUCAUAAACACUUUUAAAGUUUCUUGAUAAAUUCAAGUCUACUAGAUUGUCAUUUUUUUGUUACAUGGCUACGAAUAUCAUAGCAUAUUUUGAAAUCUGAAUUUUGAAAUCUAAAAGUAGAGGGACUAAAUUCCAUGAAAUAAAAGUAUAAAGACUAAAUUUCUAGUUUUUGAAAAUUACAAAUAUUUAUAGUAUAUUUUAACCUAAAAAUAUUUUUAUAAAUUUAAUAUAUAUAUUGAAAGUUAAUGAUGGAGAAUAGGGUUGUUUGGGAUCAAUCCCAAGCUCUCAUAACUACAACAUAGGGCUCUUACCAUUAGGCUAAGAGGUUAUUGGCAUAUAAAUUUAAGGGAAAACUUCCUAGUUGGUCACUCAAUUUUUAAAGCACUUUUUAUUUUGGUCACCUAAAAUAAAAUCCUUACAAUUUGGUCACCCAACUUUUAAGGCGCUUUCAUUUUAAUCACCCAAGCAUUAAAUUUCUAAUGGUGGUUAAUUGUAAAUGCCACAUCAUUUUUGCACUUUCAUUCUGGUCACCCAACUUUUAGGUCGCUUUCAUUUUGGUCAUCCAUAAAAUAUCUUUUUAAAAUAUUGAUUGGGAUAAAAAAAAUCAAGGAUUAGAGUGAAAAAUAGUAUAAACAAAAUAAUACAAUUUUUUUUUUCAAAUUGUACUUGUUUAUCCCAUUGCUGAAAAUUCUAAAUUUGGGUUUUGAAAUAUACAAUUUUAAAUAUUAAGAUUCAAAAUGAUAGUAACAAAUUGGUUUACAUUAUUAAUGGAUAAAAUUUUUUCAACAAUUUAUUUAAUUUUGGUUAAAAAUAAUAAUUUAUUUAAUUUUUUUUGAUGUUUUGAAAUUAUUUUUAAAAUUUGUCAAUGAAAAAUAUUGUCUUUAAUAGUUUUCCACGGAACACAAAUUCCUUUUGAUUAUAUGAUUUUGAAUCAUCCAUGCUAUGCUAAAAGUAAAGAAAAAUUCUUAAAAUUAAUUAAUUUUAUCUUCCAUUCCAAAUGAAACUCAUAAUUUUUUUAUUAUCAUAUAUAUCUUUACCCAAAUGUAGAACAAGCAAUUAAUUUAAUUAAUUGCAAGUAUCUUUUCCUAUACUUUUACAUUAGUAUAUGGAAGAUUCGAGAUUAUAUAACUAAAAAAAUUUAUAUGUCAUAGAUAAUUAUUAAAUAUGAGUUAUUUGAGUUGAUUUUGUUAAUGAUAAUUUGGAAACAUAAAAUAAAAUUUUAAAAUUUAAAAGAAGAUUAAAUUAUUUUCUUUUUAUAACUAGGGGAGGGGGAAUGGGUUGUGACUAUCUUAUACUUAUAAUAUAAUGCUCUUGCCAUUAGGUUAAGAGGUUGUUCGCUAAAUGAAUUAAUUUUAAUAUUAUAGUAACAAAUUGUUUAACAUUAUUAACGGAUACAAAAUUUUCUACAAUUUAUUCAAUUUAAUUCAAAAUUUUCUAUAAUUUAUUCAAUUUAAUUUGAUGUUUUGAAACUUAAAUUUUCAAUAUUAAAAAAAUUAAAUUUUUUGACAAUGAGAAAAAAAAGUACAAAAUAACAAUUUUUAUGUAUUAGUUUAGUUUCUACCGCUUUUUCACAUUAAUCUUUAAUUUUUUUUACCUCAAUCAAUACCUUAAAAAAAUAUUUUUUAGGUGACCAAAAUGAAAGCAACUUAAAAAUUGGGUGAUUAAAAUGAAAGUGUUAAACAUGAUGUGGUGUGCACAGUUAACUGCCAUUAGAGAUAUAAUACCUGAGUGAUUAAAAAAAAAGUUCCAAAAGUUAGAUGAUCAAAUUGUAAGAAUUUCCAAAAUAAAAUCCAUUUUAAAAGUUGGGUUACCAACUAUGUAAUUUAACCUAAAUUUAAUAUAUUAAUAGAUUAUGCUCGGUACAUUUUUCACAUAUACUCCGACUAUGUUUUUUUGCAUCAUAUAGGACAUUCUUACUUACAUUCUGCACACAAGAAAAGGCUAUUGAUCAGUUUCUCUCUUGAAAGAGUUAAAAUUCCCUCUCUUUGACCCCAAAUGAUAAUGAAAGACAGUUCCUGCUCUUAUUUCCAUCCCAAAGAAGGUGUCGGGGUAUGCCCUUUGUGCUUAAAUGAGAGGCUUCUUAUCUUAGCUUCAACCACUAGCACUGCCACCCAUAGAUAUGUUCAACCUGUUUCUCACAUCAAAUCUCCCAACUUCUUUGCUUUUACCUCUCUUCUCAAUCGUCUUCAGUUCAAGCAUUCCAAAUCUCAAACUUCUUAUGAUCCUGAUGAUGCUGCUUCAACCCCUCAAGCAGGUACUUUUUCCUAUUUCAACAUAGUUCAAGCCCGUACAUUUACCAUUUAAUUGUUGGACCAUGCACUUCAUUCGUAUCAAAAAUCAUAAAGACAAGAAAGAUCAUACAAUUUUUCUACUCUCAAUCCACUACGGGGCCUUUUUUUCAUGUCAUUUUUUGCUAAAUAAUGUUUUCAGCAUAUAAAACUCAGGUAAAGAUAGCUUUCCUUCUAUAUAAUUUUAGUUUUUUAGGGAUUUAGACCUGUAUGAAUCAAUUAAGCUAAAUCCCGAGUUUGACAUCACGACAUAGAUGUCGGAAUUCAGCCUCCAAACUUGUUAGAUGUCGGUUCUUAAAGGCAAGUGUAUGAAAAUUAGGCUAAAUUCCGGUUUCAUGCUCCAAAUUUUACUUUGGCAGACUCCUUUAUCUCAAUCAAGUUUGAAGAGGACGGUGUUGGUUCACGGGAAACAGGCGAAGUUACAAAGGUCUCACUUGAGCACUGCACCAAGUCUUGGAACCCCCCCCCCCCCCAUGACCCAGAAUCAAAGGGAGGUCAAUAAAAGUGUGGUAGAACAGGUCAAACCACUCGGUUUGCUUAGGUGGCUAAAGCGGAUAGGCCAGUUGUUCCAACUCAUCGAAAGUGGAAGAGGUCCAGCAAGCCAAAAGUGUGCCACAUUGGCAGCAAGGUAGAGGGAGCCAAGGUGAUGAAGAGGGACUGGAUAAGGACUUUAACAAAGAAGACCAAAGAAUAAAGAGCUCCUUUUUUGUUUGUAUAGAAAAGGGACGCAAAAGCUUUGUCCACUACUCCCACUAUAUCAAUUUGUGUCGUCGGAGAGUGCUUUCGGCUUAUAAACUACAACUCACAAUAAUACUUGUAGAUGAUGCCUCUUAUUAUUUAUUCCGGUAUAAAUUCCAGUCGGUGUCGAUUUUACCAGAAUAUGGUGUAUAAACUGGUACUAAAAAAAUUAAUUUUAAAUUAAUUAAUUAUUUUAAAUUUAUUAAAUUAUGAAUUGUUAUAUAUAUAGUAUGAGAUAGUUUAUUAUUUAAUUUAUGAAAUAAUUUGCAAAGCAUAUUAAAAAAUAUUUUAUACAAUUGAUGGAUUUUUUUUUAAUUUAAAUUUACAUACGGUAAAAUUCAAACUUAUACCUAACAUUUUUAAAAUCUUUUCUUUAUCACUUCAACCAAAACUUUAUUUUUUUAUUAGUAUUUUAUAUUUGAGAUUUAUUUAAUUUUAUUAUUUGAUAUCUAUAAAUACUUUUUAUAUACAUAUAUCAAAUGUUCUUUUUAAGUAGCAAUAGUUUCUAAAUGACAGAUCGAAACAGACCAGUAUCGAUAUGUACUAAAACCGGUAAAAAUAUUAAAUCUCAUAAGUCAAAAUUUACAUUUAUAAAAAUUUUGUUUGUACUUUGAGGAGACUAUAUUUUAUGUUUGAUUUAAAUACUUCAAAUCUCAUAUCUAUCCUUGUUACUGUAUUCAUAUCAGACAAGUACCAUUCUAUGAUACCGAGUCUUCGAGACAAAGAAACGGAGAAUGGGGGGACUCAAACACUGUAGAAAAUAACAAUCCGACAAGAAAACGCUUCACGUAGAUAAUGCAAUUACAAGAAUGAUGAAGACAGCAUUCUAGUAGAAUCACAUAGAAUGUGGAGUGCCGAGCUCUUCGGCAAAUGAAGGUUGUAGGGCUCGGAUUCGAACAUCAAAUUUUCUACGAGUAGAAGCUUCAUUACUGGACAAUGAAUCCGAUCCAUCUAAUACAAGAGGGUGAUCGGAAGUUCUAUCAUCAUAAGCAUUUCCAAUAUGGUUGCCACACUUGCGGCAAAGAAGCUUGGUUCUACGGCGGAACAAACCCCACGAAUGCUUUGAAAAGUAAGGACCCCAUCGGAACUCAUCAACUUGCAUAAAUUUGCUCUCAUCUAUACUAAAGAAUGAUAUAAUCCCUCUCUUUAUUGAUUUUCCGUAUUUAGAGCCAAUUGUUGCGGUGUUUCGACUAGACGAACUUAGGUUUAGCUCAUACCCACAAGAACCACAACUGCAAAAAGAAUGGUUUCCACCAUUUUAUCCUCAGGUGUACAUUGUUAAGAAAAAAAAAUCCAAGUGUAAUCUGAUGCUUAUACUACAAGAUCAGGACGUUCACCGAGUAAGGUAUCGUAGUUUGUAAUACUUGGCGCAUCGAAAAACCAUAAAGAAAGAAACAAACAUUAACUUUGGUUUCCACUUUGAGAUGCUCAAAUGGACGACAACUAACUAAAAGUAAACACAAUGACAACAAGCACAUUGGAGUUUAUCGCCUGCCUUAGUAACCGACCAAAUAUAGAAAAUUAAGAACUUUCAGUAGAUGCCAAAGGUAGAGAAAUCAAAUUACAGCUCAGCAACCGAUGAAAAAUCGAAUCCUCAGAUGUUUCAUUACCACAUAUCUAUAAACUAUCAAGCAUGCUAGAGAAUCUGAAGAAUUCAAAGUUACCAUAAACGUUUCAUAACUACAUAUGUACUGACCAUGAAGCAAACUAGAGUAUCUGAAGAAUUUGAAGUUACCAUAAAUGCAAAACAACAUAGAUAAUCAGUUCUUGAACAUCCUAAUAUACCUGUAAGAUAAACAGUUUUUAUGGUGAAUAUUAUCGGCCAUUAACAACCAGAAUAUUAUCCCAAGAAAAGAAAACCACACAAAAGUUAGCUAAUUCCGAAUCCCAGCCUCCCCAAUCCAUAAAUUUUGACAGUGAUCAAGUAUUCUGCUACUGCUGCAACAUUCUCAUUGACCGACCUAUGUUGCUCCGACUCGGACACAUAUUCAAACAUGAGUGGAUAUAAUCAUUCAAAUACACAGAAAAAAUUAGUAAAAGGAAAACAAGGUAGGUACUUUUUAUGUGAUCUUUGAAGAUAAUAAACGUGUGUAUGUAUAUCACCGUUGUCACAGCAAGUGGUCCCAAUAACCAAUCUUAUCAAACUCCAAUUAACAGUUAAUAAUUAACUCUUGGUUAAUCUAACCAGUCCCUUACUCUACAAUCAAUGGAAACAAAGCUAAAAACAUAAAAACUUUACACAAAUUAACACAGUUAGACACAGUUAACAAAGUCAAGUUCCUCCAUAAAUCAACAAAACAACAACAAACCCAGAAAGAGUUAUCACAUAACAAACAAAACACAGAAAUCAAAAACUAAAAUUUUUAAACAUCCAAUUCAACAAAAAGAAGCAAUCAAAAUUCAGGCCCACAAAAGGAAAGAAAGAAAGAAAGAAAGAACAAACCUGUAAGUUACGUGUCUUUGGGAAGCAGAAGAAAGAGAAUGAUGGAGAUUUCCAAUAAACAUCGAUUUCUCCAUUGGGUUUUCUCCUUCCCACAGAAUCAAAAGCUCAGACAAUGACUGUGACGGUGAUGGAGAUGAAAAAACCCAAGCUCUAAGUUCUAAUUGAGGGGUUAACUGUUGGGUCGUCGGCUUAGAAACGUGUCAACCUGAAUCAGAAGUGACGUUAACGCCUAUUUUUCAGGGCAGAGUUUUAGAAUAAUCAAAAAGGGAAGUUCCAAAAACAGCAGGUGUUUGUAGAACAGCAAAAACAAGGCUCUUUGUUGAAAAUGGAAAAUUAGUUUAUGGCUGUCCUUUUUGACGUGAUUUAUAACCCAAAAAAAAAAAAAACAAACAAACAAGUAGGGGUUUUUUAAGAGUGCUUUUUUUUUUUUUUUUUUGCAAAUUUGGAAUAUAAUUAGCUCAAAGUAUAAAAAUUCACCUAAAUUUAUUAUCAUAUCAAUUAAAAACUAUUAUGCCAUUUCUCUAACAUAAAAUUAAUUGAUUAAACCAAAAAAAUACCUUACGUCACAAUAAGGACAUUGGUCCCGUACCAUAAAAAGUUUACAUCCGAUUUAAGCUCAUUAAUAUAUCUUUAAAAAAUAUAGUUUUUCUUGUAAAUAAAAAAUGAAAUUUAAAAAAAAUAUUUUUAUAUUAAACUUUUAAAUUAUUUUUACUAAUUUAAAUACGAAAUAUUUAUUUUUCUCUAAUAAAAAACGAUUCGAUUUUAACUUAUAUUUCAUAAAUAAGUUAUGAUUUCUCAAAUUUGUUUUUUUGCUUAACAAUAAAAAUAAUAUUUAUUAUUUGCAUUAAUCUUAAUACAAAUUGAAUAUCAUUGUUGGUUUCGAUAUUUAAAACCGCUAAUAUGGAAAUUUAGUUGGUAAAAAA